UCUAGAUCUGGAGGAUGCCCCAAUUGAUAGAUUUCCAGAUGAACUAGUGUACUUGUUCAACUUAAGAUAUUUAAAUUUGAAGGGAACUUUAAUUGAGGAGCUUCCAGAAUCCAUCGGACGGCUUCGCAACCUUCAAAACUUGAACAUCCGUGACAGUAAGAUAAAGGCACUUCCAAAAGCAAUCUCCAAGUUAGUAAACCUACGCCAUCUAACAAUGUAUCGUUACACUAAUUAUCAUUAUGGCUUUAUGUAUGUCAUUGGGAUAAAAGCAGCAUCCGAUCUAAGUAACUUACAGAAACUGCAAGUUUUGCAAUCUGUUGAAUCAGAAGGAAGGAUUAUUAAAGUCAUCAGGAAUAUGACCCAACUUACAAGCCUCGGUAUUACAAAUGUGAAAGCAAGUGACGAGAUGGACCUAUGUGACUCCCUUCAAAAGUUAGAGCUCCUUCACUAUUUGUUUUUGAUGGCAAGUGAUGAAGAGGAGUUUCUUCGAGUUAAUGCACUACGUUCGCCUCCUCCAAACCUUCAAAAGGUUUAUUUGGCCGGAAAACUAGAAAAGGUACCGCUUUGGUUUGGUUCACUCCAUAACCUGACACGUAUGCAGCUAUAUUGGUCUAGACUUGAAGAAGAUUUGCUACCACACAUUCAAGCAUUGCCGAAUCUUGAGAGGCUUGAGCUAGUUAAUGCAUAUGUUGGCGAAAAAUUGUGUUUCUCCAGAGGCUUCAUAAAGCUUAAGCGUUUGGAUUUGCGCAACCUCCCCUUAUUGAAUAGUAUAGCUAUAGAGAAAGGGGCGAUGCCAAAUCUCCAGGUCUUAGACAUUUGGGAAUGCAUGGAGUUAAAGACAUUGCCAGAGGGCAUUGAGCUCCUUGCUAACGUAGAACGCUUGAUUCUGGGUCAUGUUCCAAGGCAACUUAUAGAGUCCGUAAAAAAGAGGCAUGGAUCAUCCAAAGGUACAACACUUUCCUGAAAUCAGCCUGUAUUACAUGGGACACCAUGAAAGAUUGUCCGGUAUUCACUCUCGUAGAAGGUACGCACACUUUUAUCCUUGCAUAAAAAUUUGAGUAAUGCUAGACUUAUCACAUUUUACAUACUAUAUAUUGUGUACCACCUUUUUAAUAGAGGUAGGGUCCAUCAACAUAUGUGGGUCUCAUUUCAAUUAGAGAGGUGAUACAAAUAUGGUAUGAAAAAUGUGGUAAAAGUAGCAUUUUUGUAAAAAAAAUUCCACAAUGUAAUCAUUUGAACUAUAUUCCUCUUGUUUUUGUUCGUUAUUAUUUUGAUUUAUUCAAUUCUAAGGCUACGAAAAAGAGGAAGUAGUGCAUCGGAGUGUAAAAAUCAUUUUGCCUUAUAAUUUGCAUGUUCAAUCUUAUUCACAAGUCUGGCAAAGACAUAAUAUAUGCAUGCAUUGAGAUUUUAUUCAGUAACUGUGUUUCGUUUGUCUUGUAAUAUCCUUUUUGUAGAAUCAAGCCUCAGAAGCACUUGUGAGACUGCAAUCUUUUUUGCCAAUUGAUUUUGUGGUGAAUCUCGACUUUCGUUAUAGUAACAUAUCAGACUAUAUACGUGUGGAGUCAUUCACCCUGCAAGGAAGAAUCCGUUUGUUGUUUGUGUGUUGUGUGAAGUUGCAAACAUUGAUCGAUCUUGGUUUCUUAUUUGCCCUUUUUGAAAUUGAAUAAUGCCCAAUAUUCUAUUUGUGUAACUGAAACUUAUAUUGAUUGCUUGCGUGUGUUUUGAUGUAAUAAUUUUAGUUUGGAACUAAAUGUGUCACUGAUGAGAAUAAUGCCCAACAUUCUGUUUGUGUGUUACAAGAACUUAUAUUAUUGUUUGCUUACGUGUAUGUUGAUGGAAUAAUAUUGGUUUGGAACUAAAUAUGUCAUUGAUGAGACCAAUUCUAACUAAACCAAUGGUUAUGACCCAUUUUUCAUUUUCAAUAUUUAUUGUUUUUUUUUUUUUCAAGUUUUCAAAUAUAUAUAUUGUUUUAGGAAGGUAAAUUUUGUGGCGGAUGCUUUAGCUCACUAUGGUUUUAUUGCUAUUGAGAAUUAUUUGAUUUGAUGGUACGGUAUUACCAUGUCGGGUGAUAUACUUCCAUUCAAAUUUUAACAUGAGUGCAGUUUCUUACGGCUGGAUUAAAAACUUUUUUAAUUAUUUUUUUUUUCAGUUUAAACAAAAUUAAAAGAAAAAAAAAUUCUCAGCUCCUUCCGCCAAAGCCCCAGUUCCCCACCACCACCUUCAUUCCCUGCCAUCAAUUGCCAUGAUUGCCUGCCUCCUGAGAAAUCACAUCCACCGUCAUAAGAAAUAAUAUCAACCUUAAAGAAUUAAUAUUCACCUUCAACAUCCAGCAAUCAGUCCCCAGUGGCUCCUCAAGGACUCAGCCAUCGAAAUCCCCCAAAGCCCCAACGAAGUCUGAGUUGCGAACGGCUCCCUGCCGAAAUCUCCAUCUCGAAACACCGCCACGGGUCUCCAACAUCCGUUGAACUCGGCGUCAUCUUCCUCCGUUCCACGUCUGUACAAAUGGCAAGUUUGAAGUGAAAGUACCACAACUGACGUGGUGAUACUGUAUCAUUCUACAAUUUAUCGUCUCACGCUAGCUAACCCUCAUUUUUGGGACCAUUGCUUGCCUUAUCGCUCAUAAUGCUUGUAUGGGAUAGAUGUACAAGAAGAUUUAGUCUUUAAUAGAAAUUUCUUUGUUGAUAAAAAAAAAAAAAUGUGUGUAUAUAUAUAUAUACCGUAUUAGAAGAAAAUAAGUGAUUUUUGUAAAGUAAAUAAAUAAUAAGAAUAAUGUUAAGUACACUAAAUGAUGUGGCCCAAUCAAAAUUUUACUUUAAUUCAAGUUUGAUUUGAUUAAUAAUUGUAAUAAAAAUUUAGGGGUAUUUGUCGUUUUCUCCUCUGAACUUGUAAGGAAAUGCCAAUUUCCCCUUGAACUUUAAUUUUAGCCAAUUACCCCAAUGAACUUUUGUAAUUAGCCAAUUUACCCCUUGAUGUUAGAUUUGAGAAUUUUCCAUCCAAUUUUCCAUCCAACUCGGUCACAUGCAUGGCACAUGCCAAAUUUUUAAGGGUAAAAAAGUAAUUUUAUCCCUAAUGUAGACAUUCUAUCUUUAUUCUUCUUCUCUUCCACUAGUUCACUUCGUACAAUUUUGUCUAAAUUAGCUAUAGAAGUCUAAUUAGCAACUGAAAAAUAUUGGCUCAGUGCCCAGUUUACCAAAAUGAAAUUAACGAUUCUUACUUCGAGUGCUUUAAUAAAGUAAACAACAUCCACAAAAAAUAUGCAACAGACUUAACAGCCUUAACAGCCUUGCACCUAGCAUCCACAAAAAAUAUGCAACAGACUUAACAACAUCCACAAAAAAUCUACUGCAUAAUCCUAUUAAAAGACCAACUUAAUCUCAACACCAAAGGUUUUCAUUAACAGGACGAAAUGCCUUCGAACACAUUAUAGUUAUACUCUCCAUGGUCUUGGCUUUUUGGCAACACGUUGGGGUUGUGAUGCCAUUUCAUUAGCCUUUCUUGUGACUUGAUUCACACGACCGCCUCGGUACACCUAUUUGAACUCAACACGAAAGCAACAAAAAUGUUAGCAAACCCAAAACAACAAAAAUUAAUGUAUAACAAAUAUUUUUGUUUUUUAAUAAAAAAAAGACAGAUUCUUGUUAUUACAUGUAGUUUAGAAGUUCCUUGUGGCCUAGUUUGAGAUGGAGCAGCCCCCGAGUGAUGAUGUGCACCAGUUUCCUACAUCAAAACCAUUUAUACUCAAUUAUUUAUGUUCACCUAGCGACUAGAUAAGUGAUAUAACAAAACUCAAAAUAAAUACAAUCCUUAUUGAUCAAAUUACCUCUUUUGUGGGCACAAAACCUUGUUGUGAUUGUAGUAGCCUUUGUGGACAGCUUCUUUUGUUGUGUCCUUCCUCUCCACAGGUUUGGCAAUGCAUUACAACAUCAUAUUUCCUUAGCUUUGUUGGCCCCUUCUUUAUCUCAUCCGAUGCUUUUGUUCUUUUGCCUUUAGGUCUUCCAAGUUGCUUGUGGUAAAAAGGGGGUUUAAUAGGCCUAAGACCAGUUCUCUUCCACUGUUCUUUUCCAGGCAUAGGAGCAAUAUACCCUUCAUAACACCUAUCAUAAGCUGGCCUUUUGUAAAGUGAGUGAACAAACACUUGUGGACUAGCCUCCUUCCUAGCAAUUGCGGAUAUAGCAUGAGGUCAAGGAAUGCCACAUAGCUGCCACUUCCUACAAGAACAAGUGUGCCUUUCCAAAUCUACUACAAACAUACUACCAACCAAAGUAUGCACUUGAUAUUGACCAUUCCCUGAAUAAUUGGCAAAACAAUUGAAACCAUCCAUUUGAUUUUUUUUUCAACAAUCUUUAAAAUUCUAGGUCCAACCUGUUGGGUCCACUUAGCUUCUCUUAGCCUAGCCAUUCUCAACAUCAAAUAUUUUUGAAUCCUUUGUAACAUCGUAAUAAUCGGUUUAUCUCUUGCAUCUAAAAUUGCAGAAUUAAAUGACUCACACAUGUGAAUAACAAAUCACACUUUACUGAUGUUCUGAAAUGAGAUCUGCUCCAAUGGCAAGGUGGCUUAUCAGCUAGCCAUUUCACUGCCUUAUCAGAUUGAUAGACAAUCUGGUUCAACUUUAAAUGGCUUAUCAGCUAGCCACACAUAACCAGUUGAUAGACAAUCUGGUUCAACUUUAAGUGGACUUUCAAACCCUUGAUAUGUAUUAAUGCAGGGAUUUUGACGUGGAAAGAAAGAUAACUUGGUCAACUUUCAGUUGCUGAUCAACUGGCAUAGCCACCAGGCAAUCGCCAAACAUUAAACCAAAUGCCAGUACAAGUUUGUUGCUCAGUUCUAUCCGACAAGUCGCAUAAAUAUGGUACUUACACAAAUGUCUUCUAUCUUUUUCAAUAAUUACAACCCAUCCCCUUCUUGAAAAAUUUAAAAGGUUGAAUGGCGUGUGGGUGUGGCUGGGCUGGGAUUAGGGUGGGAGGGUGUGGGACGCAUAACUGAAUAAAACAAUGAAGGGACCCCAUAUACACACACGACUGGAAAAAUAACACGCAAAGCAAACCUUUCACAUAUUAAACAAACUGAAAAAGAAAAAGUGAAGACUUACUGUAUCUUGGAGGAUGCCCACCAUCCCUGACCACGAUACUCAUCGUUCUCAACUUCAAAACUCAAAAUACCUUCAAUAUUUGGUAGCAAUUUGUUGAUUUCACUGUCUAUUCUCCUUAUCUUUUCCCAGACUGUAACCCUAUAAUGCCCAAUUCUUUAUGGCUCGCCUUCCCCUGCUUCUCCAUAUACCCAACAACGAUUAGGUUUGGUUGUGGUGUAUGAUUACCAUUUUGUCCUCACACCAUUAGCAUGUGCAGAGCACGUGAUCGAAUUGGAUGGUAAAUUCUAAAAUAUAACGGCAGAGGGUAAAUUGGUGAUUUACACAAGUUUAUGGGGGUAAUUGGCUAAAAUUAAAGUUCAGGGGGGAAAUUGACUAUUGCUUACAAGUUCAGGGGGUAAAUCAGCGAAUACCCCAAAAAUUUAUAUGGUGUUAUACGUGUCAUAUCAUUUAGUGAACACAUUUGGCGCAUAAAUUUGGUGUAUAUAGCAUCACCCAAAAAAUAAUAUUAAAUGGGUGGUGUUAUUCAUAUUUCAUACACUCAUUUUUACGUCUCACACGUAUUUUUCAAUUUCAGGUCGUCAGAUCAAAUAAAUUGAAGAAAUCAAUGAACAAAAUCAACAAGAAUGUAUGACAAAUAAAAAGAAGUGCGUAAAUAGCAAUGUACUACCCUAAUAAUAAUAUGAUUGACCGGUUUGUGUAAAUAUCUUACUAAUACCAAAAAAAUAAAUAAAUGAUAUUCAUUAAAAACCUUUGUCGAUGUACAAUACACAAAUCUCACAUUCCUAAGGAAUUUAUGUAUUUUAGGUAAAGAAUAUAUAUGUCAUAUCCCGGCCCGGGGCGAAUCACUUCCUGGGCCCGCUCCACCACCGUAGCACGAUAUUGUCCACUUUGGGCCCCGACCACGCCCUCACGGUUUUGUUUAUGGGAACUCACACGAGAACUUCCCAGUGGGUCGCCUAUCAUGGGAGUGCUCUUGUGCGCUACUUGCUUAACUUCAGAGUUCGGAUGGAACCCGAAGCCAGUAAGCUCCCAAAAGGCCUCAUGCUAGGUAGGGAUGAGAAUAUACAUAUAAGGAUCACUCCCAUGAGCGAUGUGAGAUCUUACAAUCCACCCCCUUAGGGGCCCGACGUCCUCGUCGACAUAUCACAGUCAGGGUUAAGCUCUGAUACCAAUCUAUCACAUCCCGGCCCGGGGAGGAUCACUUCUCAGGCUCGCUCCACCACCGUAGCACAAUAUUGUCCGCUUUGUUUCUGGGAACUCACACGAGAACUUCCCAGUGAGUCACCCAUCAUGGGAGUGCUCUCGCGCGCUACUCGCUUAACUUCAUAGUUCGGAUGGAACCCGAAACCAAUGAGCUUCCAAAAAAUCUCGUGCUAGGUAGGGAUGGGAAUAUACAUAUAAGGAUCACUCCCCUGGACGAUGUGGGAUCUUACAAUCCACCCCCCUUAGGGGCUCGAAGUCUUCGUCGACACAUCACAGUCAGGGUUAGGCUCUGAUACCAAUCUGUCACAUCCCGGCCCGGGAAGGAUCACUUCCCGGGCUCGCUCCACCACCGUAGCACAAUAUUGUCCGCUUUGGGCCCCGAUCACGCCCUCACACGGUUUUGUUUAUGGGAACUCACACGAAAAACUUCCCAGUGGGUCACCCAUCAUGGUAGUGCUCUCGCGCGCUACUCGCUUAACUUCAAAGUUCCGAUGGAACCCGAAGUCAGUGAGCUCCCAAAAGGCAUCGUGCUAGAUAGGGAUGAGAAUAUACAUAUAAGGAUCACUCCUCUAGGCAAUGUGGGAUCUUACAAUAUAUAUAUAUAUAUAUAUAUAUAUAUAUUAUUGUUAUUUUUUGAGCAAACGAUAUUAUAUAAUUAAGGGGAAGUUGAGCUCUUACAUGACGGCUUGGGUUCAAAUCCCGUCGUAGUUAAUCUAACAAAAUCUAUCGUUUAACAAGAAAAAAAGGGGGAGCGGUAUGAUGUGGUUCAAAUUCGUCUUUGGCGAGAAUCGAACCUAAGACCUAUCACUUACAAGUGAAGAGGAAUACAAAUAUAUCAUAGUAAUGAGUGGCUUUAGGUUAAGAAUAUUAACAAAAAGAGCAUUCUAGAAUUUAGAGGUUGGGGUGUGAUAUCCACACACCUUUUUUUUACUUUUCACACACCCUUCUAAUUUUCGGCCGUUGGAUCGAGUGAAUUGAAGAAAAUCAAAGGGCAGAAAUUAACAAGAGGUGUGUGAGAAGUAAAAAGAUGUGUGUGGAUAACACACCCAUAGAGGUUGUGGUGUUUCAAACAAGUUCAGUUGAUAAUGUUCUCACAUGAUUGACAAAUGACAAAGAAUGCAUUCUAGAAUUUGCCGCACGGCCAACAUGGUCCGUCGACUGUAAAUGUUUAGAAGACCCUAAAUUAUACGUGCCAAGAGCUACAUAGACCUUAUUCGGAAUGGGUACAUAAGUACAAUGUAUGACGUUUUAUGCUAAUAAUACAAUGACGACAUGUGUAGGUUUCUCUUUACAAGACAAUUUAUCAUUGCAAUAAGAUGCCAUAGUGAUAGUAUAUUUGUGUCAUGUAAGUUACUCUCAUAAAAUAAAUAUUGUGGAGCCAAAAAUAAUUCUAAAAAUUCAGAAGACGACACGUGUACUUUAUUCCGAAGAAGACAAGAUUGACCUCAUUAAAUUAGGAGGGGCAAACAAAUACUCGCACGUGCACGUGCAACUUCUCGGGAAGUUCAAGCAGCUAACUACGACUGCUUAAACCUCUCUUGGGGGAAGUCACAAGUAUUAAAUAUAGGGUUAAUUACUAAAUCUUAUUUUUAAUACAUUCUCAAUCGAAGAUCAACUCAAUCAAGUAAGGAAUCCCUACAUAUCACAAUCAAUUAGGGAUGUUUCCACCAUUAUCCCAAGAUAGUUUCUCCUAAUUAAUAUAUUGGGAAUAUUUUUUCCUCAUUCAGAGCAACUCCACCCUUGGAGCCAUUCCCCCUGGCAAUCCACUAUUGAAUCCACCAUAUUGAACAGUAACUGCCUUUAAUGAAUAGUAACUAUCAUUAAUGAACAGUAAUUACCUUUUGCAUCUCCACCCUUGGAGCCCUCCCCCCUGACAAUAGGUAAUAAAAUAUUAUUAUUUUUUGUUUGUUUAAAUAAUACAAAAUAAAAAAAAAACAUUGAAAUGGGGCUGUAGGCCUUCGGGCUGACACAAAAAAAAUAAAAAAUGCCUGGCCCUUGGGCUGCAGGCCUGUCAAUUCCACACCCCCAUUGUGCUCGAGCUCUCCAAGGCUGGAGGGUUGUCCACCGGGCCUCGGGCCCUUUCCUGAUGCCUGUCCCCCAAGCAAUCCACAAGGGUGGACUUGCUCUCAUCCAACGGAUGAGAAACGUUUCUUUCAUAUGAAGAAACUCGCCAGUUAUUCCUUCUAUAUUUGUGAUAGAGUGCAUCUUCACACGAAAGGAUCAUUCGGUUCUUGUCAUGUGAAAUAUGUGUUUCUCGGAUUUGCAUAGUAAUUUUGUGCACAGAAUCUUAUGGCUUCAGUUUUUUCCAGGUGAGCAGGUUGUGUAACUUGAUUUUGUUAUUAUUCUUUUGUAAACACGAUAUUCUCGUUCGGUUGCUACGAUUAUCAGUGUGGCCGGAAUACUACUUGUCCCAAACGCAUGGGGAAGUGCUCUAUAUUGUUCGUGAACUCCGUGUGUUAUGGGACUGUUGUUCCUGUUCAUGGGUGGAUUCUGACAAGCUGCAACACCAGGUAAUGUAGCUUGUACAUCAACUGUUUCAUGUUUCCAUAAGUGGUGAGAUAAAUUUGUUGGGUCUGAUUGAUUCAAACAGGAUUAUGGUACCCUUUUGAUGAAGGAGGCCGAGCGGUUUGCUAGCCGGGGAGCAUCGAUAGAAAAAGACUGCUUGAGCUUGAAGGGAAACACCCAAAAAUAAGACUAAGGUUAGACUUUAUGCAACAAAUGACUGAGACUUUAUUGUUAGCAUAUUGAAUAGAAGGACGACGUCCAAAUAAUACAAAUUUUGAACAGCAAAACCGAACCACCUCCUAACGAAUCUACCUAGCUAUUUUUCUUGUGUUACUUUUUCAUUCUCUAUUCUUCAUGUUGAUUUCCAUAUUGAUCUUCUGCUUCGGACUGUGAACAGAAUUGAAUCAAAAGAACCAUAUGAGGAAACCAACAUCAAGUGCGCAACGGAAAAGUUGCUCCUUUUGUGACAGAAAGGUCAUGGUUCAAGUCGUGGGAACAAUCUAUCUGCAGAGUAAGGGUAAGACUGUAUACGAUAGAUGUCCUCCUCCUGACCCUCACAAAGUGGAAGACUUGUUGCCUUGGGGUCGUCCUUUUACUUUUUGAUUCUUAAAUCUUGAUGUUGAUGUCUGUCUUGCUCUUCCGCUUCGGACUCUAUCCUUUAAAGAUAUAAUUAUCGACUACGAACUGAUAAAUUUUAGUUAGAAACCCUUUCAUUUCAGAUGAAUAAGCUCUGACAAAAUUCGUCAUUUGUCAUUUGGCUCAAAAAAUUGACCCCCACAGGAAAUUUACAACUUCAACUAUGAGAAUUAUGCAUUGCACACUCUUGGAAAUAUAUAGCUAAACAAAUUUAUGAAACCUUUUAGCCCUCCGACUAUUUUGCUUCUUGAAAUGAGUUUCACGACUUUGAAUAGACAUUUAAUUCCUUUCUUGAUAUUGUCCACCAAAAUCUCGAAAAACUUUUGAGUCUGCUACCAUGCACAUGAGGAGCAAGCUUUCUGGCAAUGGGUUUUACUCGGUCCUCAAUAAUAUAUCAACCUCUGAUCGAGUCGCCCCACUCUGCUUAUUCUCCAAAACCUUCAUCAUCAGUUGUUGAAUGCAUUCCAACUUUGGCCUCUCUCCCCCUUCAAGCUUUCAUAAAUCGUCUUUCCAACAACUUGCUUAACGAUCUCAAACUUCAUCGACGCGUUCUGCUUUCUUCCAAUAAUCUCGAAGACCAUAGUGAUGAGUUCUCGUUCCUCUGAACGCUCCCUUGCCAUUUCUUGUUCUUUCUUUCUGUAUAUGAGUUUGAGAUCGUUAAACAAGUUGUUGGAAAGCCAAUUUAUGAAAGCUUGAAGGGGGAGAGGGCCAAAGUUGGAAUGAGAACUCAUCACUAUGAUUUUCGAGAUUAUUGGAAGAAAGCAUAACGCGUCGAUGAGGUCAGAAGUUAAUGUUCAGUUAAUGUCUAAGUUUGAGAUCGUUAAGCAAGUUGUUGGAAAGCCGAUUUAUGAAAGCUUGAAGGGGGAGAGAGGCCAAAGUUGGAAUGCAUUCAACAACUGAUCACGAAGGUUUUGGAGAAUAAGCAGGGUGGGGCAACUCGAUCAGAGGUUGAUAUAUAUUAUUGAGGACCGAGUUUGAAAUCAUUAUGAAGCGCGUUGCUGAAAAUCCAUUGCCAGAAAGCUUGCUCUUCAUGUGCAUGGUAGCAAACUUAAAAGUUUUUUGAGAUUUUGGUGGACAAUAUCAAGAAAGGAAUUAAAUGUCUAUUCAAAGCCGUGAAACUCAUUUCAGGAAGCAAAAUAGUCGGAGGGCUAAAAGGUUUCAUAAAUUUGGUUAGCUAUAUUUCCAAGAGUGUGCAAUGCAUAAUUUUCAUAGUUGAAGCUGUAAAUUUCUUGUGGGGUCAAUUUUUUGAGCCAAAUGAAGAAUUUUGUCAGAGCUUAUUCAUUUGAAAUGAAAGGGUUUCUAACUAAAAUUUAUCAGUUUGUAACUGAUAAUUAUAUCUUUAGAGGAUAGAGUCCGAAGCAGAAGAGCAAGACUGACAUGGCCAUCAAGAUUUAAGAAUGAAAAAGUAAAAGGGCAACCCCAAGCUACCAAGGUUCUCCGCUUUGCUAACAUCUAUCGUAUGCAGCCUUCAAAGGAACAAGCACUCAUCGUGAUGGUCUUCGAGAUUAUUAUAAGGAAGCAGAAUGUCGACGAGGUCAAAAGUUGAUGUUCAGUUAAUGUUCGUUUGAGGUCGUUAAGCACUCAGUUGCUAGAAAACCGGUUUCUAGAAAGCUUGAAUGGGGGGAGAUGUCAGAGUUGGAAUGCAUUCAAGAACUGAGGACAGAGGUUUUCAAGAAUGAGCAAAGUGGAGCAACUCAAUCAAAGGUUGACAUAUUAUUGAGGAGUUUGAAAUCGUUAUGAAGCGCGUUGCUGAAAAACCCGUUGUCAUGAAGCAAAGCAGUCGAAGAGUUGAAAGGUUUCAUAAAUUUGGUUGGCUAUAUUUCGAAGUGUGUGCUAUGCAUAAUUUUCAUAGUUGAAGCAGGAAGGUAGCCCAAUAUUCUUCGUCGCGAUGGAUGUACAUCCUGCUGACUCCAGUGCUCAGGAAGCUUGGAGGGCAUCUUAGACUGGAGUUGUAGGCAUGCCAUAGCCACACACGAAAAAAGUAUGAAAGCAACAGUUCAUGGGGCACAGGUAACUUCAAUGGACAUUGUGUCAGUUAAAAAACAAUUAAAGAAGAUAACAGAGCUUGCAAUGAAUGGAGAAAGGUUUCAGAGGGCAGGGCGUUUAUGCAUAGGCCUCUCCCCCAUAUACUAAAUAAAUCACUCAUCGCAUGAACAGCAUGUGAUUGUAGCUGUGAUAGGAGAAAUUUUUCAUUGUGUCCGUAAUACGAGUGGUACACUACGUGUUAUUACGUAGGAGGAAGUUUUAUAUUGUAAGUUGUUAAUUUUUUAACACAAAUAUCUCACCACAUAUAUUGUGACAUGUGAUGUAUAAUUCCGUGUUCCGAACAAGCGCUAAAAAAAUCUCUCGAUGAGAUGAAUACAAUUGCUCCAUUUAAGAGUAUGAAGUUCAAGAAAUGGUUGAUUUUUUAUAUUUAAAUAAAAAGUUUUAAAAAAAUGCAUUGAAUCAGUUGCAAAAUAAUUUUUAUAGUUUUUUUUCCUUCUGUAUUCUUUUUUUUUUGUUAAUUCAUUUUUAAUUUAAUAGUUUAAAUAUAAAAUAAAACCAAUGAAAUUACAGUUAUAACCUUUAAUACAUAACUAGAAGAAAAAAAAAUUAGAUAAGGAAAAAAUGUGGGCAUUAAUUCCACACGAACAACUUUUUGCUUUUUUUUUUCUUUGAACCUGACAAUCAUGUCACCUUAUCUUUACCCUCUAAACUCACACUCUCUCUCCUUAACAGCCAACCCUUUUUUUUAUGUCUACCAACCCUUUUUUUUGUUUUAUCAAACAAUAUUAUUUACACUAAGGGAUGAAUGAGUGAGUUAAGUCUCAUAAUGAGCCAGCAAUAAUGCAGUUCAAAUUUACCUUUGGCGAAAAUCCAACCUCAGACCUCUCACCUACCAAUGAAGAAGAAUAUCACUAGAUCGUAGUAUUGAGUGCCAACAGUUAAAAACAAAUAACUCCUCCCUUUAAAAAAAAAGGGAAAACUAAUGAAAAUGGUUUGAAAACUUUGAGUUUUAACGAUAAAAACAAAAUAAAGGGUAAAGUGAAUAGUAUCGGAAUUGACUUUUUAGUGUAAAAAUGUGGUUUUUCGUUAAAGUGAAUGGUACCGGGAGUUUUUCUUUAAAUUCCUUUAAAAAAAACCAAUUUUUGAGAAAAGUAAAAAUAAAAAUUAUAUUUCUCACAGAUAGUGUGUGUGGCAUUUGCUAGUAUACAUAAUGUGAGAAGGCUAAAAAGGCGACACUUUCAAAAUACCUAAAAUGCCCCCUCUUCAAAGAAUGCAAUUUAAUAAAACUACUUCAAAUACAUGACUGACUAGUUACUAAUAUAGUUUUUUAUAUUUUCAUUUAGCUUUCAAUAUACCUAAAAUGCCCCGUUUUCAAAGAAUGUAAUUUGACAAAACUACUUCACAUACAUGACGGAGUAGUUACUUAUAUAUCUUUAAUCUUUAAUAUUAGAAAGCGAGAAGGAGAGUUUGGUGUCUUAAGGCUUCACCAAAAAAAAUUGGACCAUAAAACCCCUCAAACAAAAAAAAAUCAAAACUGACAGAAAAAAUACAUAUAAAAACCCCAAGGCUAAUUUCGUCAGAAAAAAAAUAUAUUUCAUUUUUUAAAAAAUAAAAUUUUAGUAGAAAAAAUUUAAAACAACAAACGUGGAAGACACAACUUCAACCACGUUCAGCAGUUUUCGAAAAAAAAGGGAAAAAAACACGAAAAAUAAAAAAGGAAAAAACUUCCGUGCAAAAACUGAAACCCAUUAUCUUGCGAACUGAAACCCCAUUAUCUUGCCAUGCCGAUAGAAUUAAAACCCACUACGGGAUCCUGUUUUCUGGAAUCUGGAUCCGUCUCUCACUAACUCUCUCUCUCUCCCUCCUCCGCAGCCACCUCUCUUUCUCCCUCCUCCACGGCCACCGCCAGCCGAACCUCCUGUCACUAGCUCCUCCCAUCUAACUAUCUAUCCUCUCCAAACCACCACCGAUUUAAUCCCGAGGUAUACACUUUUUGGUUUUUCAAUUUUUUUAUUUAUUUUUAUUUGUUUCAUCGGUACAGGCUUUUGUAUUUAUUGUAUUAAUAGGAGAAAUAACCCAAAGAGAUGAUAAUUUGUAUUUGAUUUCAAUUGCCAGAGUCGAAGCUCUGAAAAGGGAGCAGCAUCCAACCGCACUAGCAACUUUCAUGUAAGCUCCGAUCUUCCUCUCGCUCUAUCUCAGUUACCCAUUUGUUGUUCAUCUGGAUCUUGCUUCGAUUAAGCUAUUUGUGACUUAAACCGUCGCCUUCAUUGCCAUCUUCUCCAGGUACCCAACUUCCCAAUGUAAAAAACUAGGGUUCCAUUACCCUUUCGAAUUUCUCUCAUUUUUUUUGUGAUUUUGUUCCUGGGUUUGAUUCUUUAAUUUGAUUUUACUGGAAGUGUUUUACAGUUUUGGGUUGGAGAGAAGGAGAAGGAGAAAAGAGAGGAAGCAUUUUACCGAGGGAAAGGUGAAACUCUGUUUGCUUCUUUUCCCAUACAGGUUGUUCUGAUUGGGAUCAGUUUUAACCCUCUUCGUCCUUUGCACACACAACCACUCCACCUCUUCUUCUUUUUAUUUUUUUUAUAUAUCCAGGACAGUUUGAAGAUUUUGCUUCCUUGGAAAUCUAGCGGCAAGAAAACAUCCGUACGUUUUGGUUUCAAAGUUGUUCUUUAUUGUUUCAGUUUAAAUAAUUUGAUUAUUUUUUUACGAAAAUUAUGCAGAUAAGAAGAAGUCCACCCAUUGAUACUUCCAAGUUCCACGUAAGAUGUUGGGGAUCCUAUAUUUGCUUUCUUAUAUGUUUCUACAAUUUGUCUGUGUCUGAGUGUUGAGAUUUUUGGGCUUAUUAGAGCACACUAAACCGAAUAGGAAUCGGCGAGCGAGAGAGGGUGGGUGGUGCCACUGCAAUCCUACUUCUUCUGCUCUUCCAGUGCCUUCCAGGUAUUUCUCUUCAUUAUUUCUUGCUUUGUACUCUUUCUAACUUAUAUUUGUUCCAUUUUUUUUCUCAAUUUAUAUGUUGCGGUGAGAAAUAUGUCCUUUAAUUGUCUUUUUCUGUCGGCGUUUGUGAUGAUUGCUAAUAAAAGAAACGUUUGUGAUUAACCAAACGACAUAGGUUUUGCAUCAGCUGAAGAUUUUGCUUCCUUGCAAAUCUAGAGGCAACAAAUUUUGUUGUAUGUUAACCAUUCUGUUUUCUAUUUGUUUUCGUAACUCUUUUUGCUUUCGAAGUUUACUGCUCGGUUAAAUUUUUGUACUAAAUUCUUCAAGUUGUUAAGAUUGGGUAAAUUUAGGGAUUCAUGAAUGGGUCCGUGGUUGAAGCUCAGGAAAAUUAGCUCAAUCGGAUCUGCAAAUGGGUUAAUGCCUACUGUCUUAAUUUUGGUUAUGGUGGUAUAUGUUCGGCUCCGUCCUAUUAGUUUGUGUUAGUCUAUUUUUUCCUUUUUGAAAUCCCCAAUGUUAUGUGUUCUAUCAAUUCGAUAGUGUACAUUUCAUGAAUCUUUUAACUGUGAUCUAAUUUGUGUAAGCAUCAUUUUCCAUUGUUGAAUUUCAAUGCUAUGUUUCCAUAUUUUCCUUCAAUUUUACCUUUAUUAAGAAUCAUCCAAAUUGAAAUUUCAGUUUUAAGAUUUCCAGAGGACUUCAACAUAUCAACUAUGGAGGGAAUUGAUAGAAGCAAUAUGUCAGAGGUUCUUACCUUAUCUCUAUUAUUCCUCUUCUAUAGAGAUGAUUUAUUUUUUCUUCUUUUUCAAAAAUAAAAUAAAAUUCAUUCUUUUUGGCAAUUUCUCAAUGUCGGUCGACAAUGAAGAAAUUCACUUCGGACAAACAAAUGUUCAAAAUUCUCAACAGUCAAACCAAAGUUAUCGUAGGAGCAAUCAACAAAGGCAAAGACGACAAUCUAUGAAUUCAUCACAGCGGGCUCAAAUUUCAAUGCGACGACGUGCCAAUUAUCAAACACGAUUGAACUCAGUAAAUAUAGUACAAAAUCAAACGGAAGUAAACCAAGAUGAUAUAGGACCAACAUCGGUGGGUAACUAUGAUUUCUUAUUUUUUUUUGUCUCUAUUAAUUAUAUAUUUGUAAAUUCAUAUGUUGUAUGAAUAUUUUUGUACAAAUUAUUAAGACACAAUCUAUUAAGAUUGAACGAAUAGUUAUCUUACAUUGUCAUUGCCUUUCGUACUAUCAAUGGAAACAUCCACUUAAUAAUUAUGUUAUGUCUAUAACAAUUUCAACAUUCGGAUUGUAUAUAUUUACCACAGUGACCAACGUUUUAACAAGUACCCCAACAAAAAAAAACAAAUAAAAAAGGAAAGAAAUAUGUCUGGAACGGUAAGUGAUAAAUUUUUUAUGUAAACUUGGAAUAACAGUUCAACUAUAAUAGUCAAGGGAAAAAUAUAAAAACAAUUACAAUUAUGUCCAGCCAUCUUCUAGAUUAAAAUAUUAAAAUAACAGUUAAACUUGGUAAGUGAUAAAAUUUUUACGUAAACAGCUUCAAAUUUAUUGCUUCCAAUUAUGUGCAGCCAUCUUCUAGAUUUCACCCUUCACCUCCAUACUUGGUACUAUACUUUUUAAAGCAUAUACAUUAACAAUUACAAUGGAAAAAAAACUAACACAAUACAUAUUUACAGGCGCGUAGCGCCCGUGAUGCAAAAAUGCCUCUCGCACGCACGCUAGUGCAGAGAGGCUAGUUCAUUAUUAUAUUUUUAAACACAUGUAAAUUCAGUUUUUUUUUUAAUUUAUGCAUAUAACGAAGAAGAGCAAAUUGCCACACGCCUGCGAGGCUAGUAAAGAAUAUAAAUUCAGGAGGCCAAAUGGUGAAUCAUUCAUAAUCCCAAAAAUACCCUCUCUAAUUAAAAGUUUAAAUAAAACAAUUUAAUUUCACAAAAAAUACAAACUAACAAAAGAAAAAAUUGUCAAAGGUGUAAGCGUGUAGCAAGAAACUACUUGCAAAAAGAGAGAAUAACAAUACGAAAAUCAUCUUUGUCACAUUUUAGACCAAAUUGACACAUUAAGAAGUUGCCAAAUUUUUUGAGAAUAUUACUAAAUAUGUCUCAUAUUUCAAAAUCAAAUAUCAAUUCGUUUUUGAAUUUCAUACCCAAAGUUAAAAUUAAAAAUAGUUUCAGUCUUUUUAGUAUUUUUCAUAGAAUGAAAAUAAUUAUAGCCAAUUGAUCAAAAAACAAUAAAGUUUGUUCAACCUUAGACCAUCUCCAAUGGUUGUGCUAAAAACCAAAUAUUUUAGCCCGAAAAAUUUAGUUUUUAGCCCAAAAAUAGUUUUUUUGCUCCAACUGUUAUAGCCUAAAAUUUUAGCCCGGGAUUAUUAAAGAAUGAACUUAGACUAUUUUUUUUCUUAAAUUAAUUUUUUUUAAUUAAUAUGUAGACUAUCGUAAAUUAAUUUUAUGAAUAUUCUAAUAAAUUUUUUUUUAAUUCCGAUAAAUAUUUUCAUUCGGUUCGGUGGAGCUCAUACCGAUUUCUGGGCUAAAUUUUGGGGGAAAUCUGGCAUUGGUUUAGCAUUUAGCAUUUAAUCCAAAUUUUCGCCUUGGGUUGGAGUGAGUUUGGGGGAAAACUUUUAGGGUAAUUUGACUUUUAGCCACCAGAGAUGAUCUUAACAAACACGGACUGUAGCUAGACUUGUAAACGGGUUGGGUUUAUUGGGUUUGGGUCGGGUUCAACCCGACCCGUUAAGUUAACGGGUCACCCGAACCCAACCCGUUAAGCUAGCGGGUCAUCCGAACCUGAUCCGUUAAGCUAACGGGUCACCCGUUUCACCCGUUAUCACCCGUUAACAAUUAUUAUUAUUAUUUUUUUGCAUAAAGUUUAUUUUUUGUUAUUAAGACUUUACUAAAAUUACUAAAAUAUCAUCAACUAAUGGGUGCUAACGGGUGUUAACGGGUCCUAACGGGUCUAACGGGUUGACCCAAAGUGACCCGUUAGCGACCCGACUCGUUAAGUAUCCACCCAAAUACAAAUAUUAACGGAUUGGGUCAGGUCGGGUUAACGGAUUGGGUCCAAAAUGUCUCAUAUUUCAAAAUCAAAUAUCAAUUCGUUUUUGAAUUUCCUACCCAAAGUUAAAAUUAAAAAUAGUUUCAGUCUUUUUAGUAUUUUUCAUAGAAUAAAAAUAAUUUUAGCCAAUUGAUCAAAAAACAAUAAAGUUUGUUCAACCUUAGACCAUCUCCAAUGGUUGGGCUAAAAGCCAAAUAUUUUAACCUGAAAAUUUUAGUUUUUAGCCCAAAAAUAGUUUUUCUGCUCCAACCGUUCUAACAUAAAAUUUUAGCCCGGACUUAUUAAAGAAUAAACUUAGGCUAUUUUUUUCUUAAAUUAAUUUUUUUAAAUUAAUAUGUAGACUAUCGUAAAUUAAUUUUAUGAAUAUUCUAAUAAAAAAAAUUUAAAAUUCCGAUAAAUAUUUUGACUCUGUUCGAUGGAGCUCAUACCGAUUUCUCGGCUAAAUUUUGGAGAGAAUCUGACAUUAGUUUAGCAUUUAGCAUUUAGUCCAAAUUUUCCCCUUGGGUUAGAGUGAGUUUGGGGGGAAACUUUUUAGGGUAAUUUGACUUUCAACUCACCAUUAGAGAUGGUCUUAACAAACACGGACUGUAGCAUAGAAACGGCAGUUCCUGUUAAACCUCUUUUCCUCCCCUCACUCUUCUCUCCCAUGGCAACUGCAGUGCUGCCAGUAUCCGUGCCCGCCAGAAAGCAACCCCGACCCGGUCAGGGCGGAUUCGAGGCCCAUGGACUAUCCGAAGGAGAGGCCUGGGUCCGAGCCAUCGCCGAAAUCGUCAGCUCCAUGGUCGACCUCUCCCGGAAGACCAAAACGCCCUCAGGACCACCGCGUGCCGCAAGUACGGUCUCUCACGUGCGCCGAAGCUGGUUGAAAUGAUCGCGGCUCUGCCGGAGUCGGACCGUGAGGCUCUUCUCCCUAAGCUCAGGCCAAGACGGUCCGAACCGCCUCAGGCAUCGCCGUCGUGGCCGUGAUGUCGAAGCCUCAUAGGUGCCCCCACAUCGCCACCACCGGGAAUAUUUGCGUGUACUGCCCCGGUGGUUCCGAUUCGGACUUUGAGUACAGCACUCAGUCUUACACUGGAUACGAGCCUACUAGCAUGCGCGCAAUUUGGGCAGGUAUGGCUUUCUCUAGUUCAUUGACGCAUUUUAUCGAACACUUGAUAGGGAAUUCAAAAUUUAUGUUAUUCAUGAUUCGUUUCGAAGUUUAAAGUUUUCGGCUUGAUUGAUUUUUCACCAUGAAAUUGAGAGCUUUGUAAUGAAGAGAUUAUUUGAAGGAAUUGGUGUUUAAAAUUGGAUUAGUGAAGUUAAUUUGGUAGUUAAUCUUUUGGUUUUGUGUGUUUAGAUACAACCCAUAUGUCCAGGCUAGAAGAUCAGCUGAAGAGAUUGGGUCACAGUGUAGACAAGGUUUGGAGAUUUCCAUGAUAGAGUAAUAUGCAUGGUUGUCGCCUUAUAACUGGUACUGAAUUUGUGUUUUCAGGUCGAGUUCAUCUUAAUGGGCGGUACUUUCAUGUCGUUGCCCGCAGAUUACCGUGAUUACUUUAUUAGAAAUCUGCACGAUGCGUUAUUGGGACACACUUCUGCCAAUGUUGAAGAGGCAGUUGCCUACUCUGAGCAUGGUGCUACUAAAUGUAUUGGAAUGACCAUUGAAACCUGAGAUUUUAGUUUAUUUCCGAAGCCUUUAAUUUCUCAUUCUUGUGUUUAAAUUGGCUGACAGUAAUUUUUUCGCUUACCAUCUUGUUUCCAGUUCAUCUGGUCGGUCCAGAAAGUUAACAAAGGUAGUUGUAACUUUUUAUUCUGCUGGAGGCCAGAUUAUUGCCUUGGACCUCACUUGAGACAAAUGCUUUCUUAUGGUUGUACAAGACUAGAAAUUGGAGUUCAGAGUACAUAUGAGGAUGUGGCUCGGGACAACAAUAGAGGGUCAUACCGUAGCUGCAGUGGCUGAUUGUUUUUACUUGGCAAAGGAUGCUGGUUUUAAGGUCAGCCUAGUACCUUAUCAUAAAACUCACUUACCUUCACCGUGGGAAAAGAUUGGAUUUUGGACCUUUUAUAUCUACAGUGACAGGAGAUUAAUCUUUCAUCAAAAACAAUUUGUGAGCCUGGAUAUAUUUUUCAAAUUAUUGUGCUCUCCCAUAAUUCAGCGAGAAUAUUUUAUCAUAUUCUAGUCAUUCAUGUUGAUUACUUUUGUUUCACACUAAUAAUUUUAUGCAUUUGCUCUAGGUGGUUGCACAAAUGAUGCCUGACCUUCCUAAUGUAGGGGUUGAGAGAGACAUGGAGAAUUUCGGGAGUUCUUUGAGAGCCCCUCGUUCAGAGAAAAUGGCCCUAAAAUUUAACCAACACUCGUGAUCUGUGGAACUGGACUCUAUGAGCUUUGGAAAACGGGCAGGUACCUGAGCAACUUGUGGACAUUGUAGCUCGGAUCCUAGCCAUGGUCCCCCCUUGGACGCGUGUUUAUAGAGUUCAGCGAGACAUUCCAAUGCCUUUAGUUACUUCUGGGGUUGAGAAAGGAAAUCUUCGGGAGUUAGCUUUGGCUUGGAUGGAAGACCUGGGCUUGAAGUGCCGUGAUGUUCGAACACGAGAGGCUGGAAUUCAGGUAUGUGGGUAGUCAUUCUUGUUUGAGCAUGUUUUUUGGAACUGAGGUUUUGAUUUGCAAGUCGAACAAGGCAUGAAAUUCGGGUUGUUGUAAGUGGAGCGAGUGAUGAAAUAUACGGUUUUAGUUUUGAAUGAAUUUGGUUCUGAAGUUGGAGUUUUUUUGUUUGCAGGUAUACACCAGGGGAGUUCCCGUUGCCUUCAGAAACGCGGUCUGCUGAGUUCUAUAAGAUGGUGCCUAGGAUGCUUUCGGAUGCAGGUUACAACCUAUAGAAAUUAGCAGUUACUGCAAGAGUGGAUAUCACUGCAAACACAAUCUAACUUAUUGGAAGAACAAGCCUUUCUAUGCUGUCGGCCUUGGCUCCGCUAGCUAUGUCGAUGGCGUGAGGUUUUCGAGACCAAAGAGGAUGAAGAGUACACAGGUAAUGUGGAGAAUAUGGAGAAUGAUUUGGUGGAGUGCGGUGAGGUACUGUAUGGUACGUAGACGGGACAAAACGGAUGUUGUUAUGGAUAAAUUUUUCAUUGGGACCGGAAUACGGAUGGUACAUCACAUGUUUUUAUAUAAAUUGUGGGAAAUUUUAUUUUUUAAGUUGUUAACUUUUUAACACAUAUCACACAAUUUGUAUAGCAAUACGUAAUGUACCAUCCGUGUUUCGGUCACACCAAAAAUUCUCUCAUUGUUAUCUUCUCUCUUAAAAUGAAGAGAAAACGUUACAUUUAUGUACAAUUAUUGCUUCCGCUGAAAUUAAUAAUUAACAAAUGCAUUAUGAUUCUUACCCUAUUAAGAUAGAUCAUAGUUAGGGGUGAAUUUGGGUACGGUUAUCGUACUAAAAUCCUUGUACUAAAUACCAUACCAAAUUUUGGGUUUGACACAAUUUAUUAUCAUUAUUAUGCCAAAUUUUUAGCAUAACUAAUUAUGGUAUGUCAAAUAGUUAUAGUUCGGUUAACAUGGUAUGAUCAUAGUAAUUACCACUUUAUUUUGAAUCACUUUUUCAGCCUAAAAUCUGUUUUUUUUUUUAUUUAUAAAUUUAUAUUUUGUUCCCAACCCAAUUGAAGGGCAACCCCUCUCCCUUUCUUCCAUCGUUCUCCGGCUUCUACUUCUACUGGUCACUAACUAUGAAAGGUAUGAGUGUCCGCCAUGGAUGACCGUGUUCUUGUCAACAAUUUAAUUUUCCAAUAUCUUCUUCUAUUGAUAACUUUACAUGGAGUGUUGUAAGUUGUAUGGUUUACAGGACGAGCAAAAGAAGGCUGGAGGUUCUACUCAUUUAACUUUAACAUAUUUUUUAUCAUUUAGUAUUAUGGUUUGGUGGUAUUCUUUUUCACUUGGAAGUGAGGGGUCUUAGAUUCGAAUUUCGUGGAUGGUGAAUUCGAUACCAAAUUAGAUUGGGCUUAACCGAACUCAUCCUCUCUAGUUUAAAAUAUAUCGAUGUACUAAAAAAAAAACUUAAACAUAUUUUUCUCAAAUUAUUUGAUUAAAUGACAUGGAUUAUAAUUAAUAUUUUUUAAUAAACAAUAUUAACUGCACUAAGGGGGAGGGGAUGGGCUACCAAUAAUGUGGUUCAAAUUCGUCUUUGGCGAGAAUCGAAUUAGAGACCUCUCAUUUAUAAAUGAAGAGAAAUAUCACUAAGCCGUAAUACUAAGUAGCUAUUAUAAUUAAUACUAACAUUUACCUACAUACUUUGUGUGUAUGAACACAUUUUUUUAGAAAAUGAGAAUGAGAGGGAGAGAAAGAGAGAGAAAAUGUGAGAGGAGUGGGAGGUUUUUUAUUUUGGUUUUUUUUUAAUUUUAAAUAUUAUGAUAUUUUAACAUCACCUGUAGGUGAGGUUUCAAUAAAAAACAAUAAAAUUUGGACCUAUGAAAUUACAUUAUUGCCCAUCAUUUUUUUGUGUGAUAGAAGACUAAGUUAUCUUCUCACUCUCUUUUGGUUGAUAAAGAAGAUUUCAUUAAUUAAUAGAGAUUAUACAUAAUAAAUAAAAUGAAAAAUAAUAAAAACUGAAAGAAAAAACUGUACCGUUCAAACUUCAAAGUUAGGGGGAGGGUAAGAAGGACAAGGAUUGUCUGCACUCCCACUUUCGGUGCCCUCCUGUUUGUGUGGUCACGGUUAAGCCACGUCAACAUUUUAUAUUACUAUUCAUUUUUGUCUUAUUAUUUCUAUAAAAAAAUAAUAUAAAAUGUUGACGUGACUUCACCGUAACCACACAAAACAGAAAGGCACCAUAAGUGGGAGGGCAGACAAUCCUUGUCUGGGUAAGAAACCUCUCAUUCUCUGCCGCAUAUCUCCUAGUUUUAUUUAUUUAUUUAAAUUUUUUUUUGGUGAUAAAAAAACCUUCCAGAUCUCUUUACUCUCUAGAAACUCAUGUGUUAUUACCAUUUAUCGGACGAUAUGUUUUCCCGCUUGUUCAAAAUGUUCUUACGCUUGGCUAAUGACAGAAAAAAUCGUUUUCCACAAUCUAAUUUAUCAUUCAAAAUACCAGGAAUGAAGAAUUAGGGUUUUGGGUUUAGUUUUGUUUACCGAACAAAAUAAUUCAAAAGAUCGAGCAAUUGCGCGAUAGGCUUUGUGUGCUUCUUAAUUUUGUAUAAAUCGAAUCAAAUCAACAUGCAGUAAAGAUGGAUUUUCUCUCCCUCCUCCUUACGUUCGUGACCAGUUGAUUUUUCUCUCCUCCUCCUUAUAUUCGAAUCAAACCGAAUAUCGUACCAAAUGGUUAGGGAUUGGUUUAGUAUGAAUCUUGAAUUUUUUUGAGAAUUUCGGUUUGGGAUCAAGAUUUUUUCGAUUUGGUUUGGGAUUUUUCGAAAUUUGCAAAUUCCGAACCAAACCAAAUGAUGUGUCACUAAUAAAAAAUAAGCACGUUAAUCAAAACUUAAGUGAUAAUCCAAUUAUAAAAAAACCAAAUCAUUUGGUUUACAAAAUUUGUAUUAAAAAUUUAGUCUCUCUAGAAUUACCCAUAUAUAUAUAGUUUUCCUCAAUAACUGUUUAUGCAUAAUUGAUAUGACAUGUCAUGUUUAGCUUUACAAAUACUCUUUUCAUACACUUCAAGUUUAUAUGACUAUUUGUAAACAUAAACCUAUGGCAUGACAUCCUUGUAUCUAAUCUGCUCAUUAUUACAUGUUUGCACGGUGUCUUUUAGUUAUUUGUAUUGUUUUGGGCCAAGGACCGGCUUCACAUGUAUCUUCACUUACACCAUUUACAUUCGCUUCGGAUCCAGAGGUAGGUGUUAGCCUAUCCCUAGGUUAGAUUUUUGGACUCGUAUAUGAUGCGCUUAGCACUAGCUUCCAUGAUGUAGUACUAGAAUGUAAUAUCUGCACCUAGCUUGUUCCAUUAUCAGAACACCUCUGCAAUAGACUUGUGUGUCUACAUACAUUAAUGAGCAGCGACUUACGCUUUGAGAUGACUAUUGUAUACUUGUAUACGUACGCUGUAUUCUUCGACUUACGAUAUUUGUUGGCUGCUAUACAAUAUUACAUAAUAUUAUUAUUUUUGGGAAACACGUUUUCAAAAAGGUUUUCAAAACUUUAUUUUAUAGGCUUACUCACCCUUGUUUUUCGCCCCUCUAGGAUCUAGUGGCAGAGCUUUGUGACGACAAUGAUUGCUGGCAAGAGCUGACAUGUAGGAGGAUAUCUCCUUUCAAUAUAAAUGUUCUUACUUUUUUAUUGUAAUUUACUUAUACUCUGAUAUCACUGUGUGAAAAGGUUCAACCUUACUCACAUGCGUGCUCUAGAAUUAGUUACUUGAGGUUCACCAUUACUUUAUGGCUUCAUCACCUCCCAGGUGUUGGCUAGCAUUGCUCCAUUCUGUUGUCCAGGUGGACAUUCCGGGUUGGGUUGUGUCAUAAUGAGUGCUCAUCCAAGAUAGUAUUCAAUAAAUCUAUUACAAUUUAUUGAAAAAAUAAAAUGUAAAAUGAAAUUUAUCUAUUUUUUGUGUAAGUGAGAGUCAUGACUUAGGCAGGUCUAGCAGCACCUAUGCUACGUAGGCCUAAGCGCCCUUUUUUAAUUUUCAAAUGUCUAGGACUAAUCGGGUCGGUGGACACGCCUAGGCAGCGCUCGGUGGGGAUUUUUAGAACAGUGAUUAAUGUGUUGACCCAAAACUUGUAAUUUUUCUGUCAUUCCAUGUCUAAUUAACAAGUCGUGCAAAAAAUUAUGCGGCCUUUGUGUAGAGUUCAAUCUGCUAUACCCAAAAUAUUGGAACUUUUUGUUAACUGCCGCCUACAAAGAAUUGGAACUGUCUGUUAUCCUUAAUACUGACAGAAAACCAUGACAUUUCGUGGAAGAAUUAGAUUGAAUGAGUUCGAAAAUUUUCAACCAUAGAUUUUUGUUCUUGAAUCAAAUUCUUUAAUUCUGUGUUCUUGGAAAAAAAGACUCGAGAAAGUAGUUUUCGGACUAAGUUUGGCCCUUUGUUUGUUAAAAUGAAUGAAAGUUAAAAACAGAUUUAAGUUUCUUGAUUACUAGACAAUUCGGGUACCUUAUUUAGAUCUUGAUUUCUUUUGGCUUGUGGUUUCGUUUGAAACUAAGCACAUAGUUUGUAAAAUACAAAAAUUUAUCCAUUGCGUUCUUUUUUUCCUUUUCUGUUGUUUUGAAACUUGUCUAUUCUGUAGAUAGAUUGCAUACCAAGUAUCGAAGGCCAAAUGGCGUCAGCUGCAUCAGUAUUGAUUGGGAAAAUUGCGGCCAUUCUUGAGAACGAAGCAUCUUCCAUAGCAGCAGUUUGUGAUGAAGUUGAUGAGCUUAAGCUGGAGCUCAUAAGCAUGAAAUCUUUCUUAAUAGAUGCUGAAGGCAAGGAAGCACAAACAGAAGGAGUGAAAACGUGGGUUACAGUUUGACAAAAAAAAAAAAAAAAAAAACGUGGGUUACAAACGUCAGAGAUUUGACCUCCGAUGCGGAAACUGUCAUUGAUGAGUUCCUGUAUUACAUAUAUGACGAGCAAAGUGCGACUCAAUUUGAAAAAUGGCUCCACAAAACCAUUUAUAUUCCAAGGAAUCUUUGGUAUAGGCAUCGAAUAGCUAACAAAUUACAGAAAAUCACGAAAAGAUCAAAGCCAUUCCAGAGAGGAAUGAGAGAUAUGGUGUCUCUACAAUAGAAGGAACAAGUUCGGAUGGUGUUCCCAUAUGGGUGAAGAACAAAGCGGAGUCUUCUCUUUAUAUUAUGGAAGACGAACUAAUUGGGAUUGAAGUCCAGAAGCAAAAGUUAAUGGGAUUGUUGAUGAAUGGAGAGCAAAAUGAAAUGGUUGUGUCUGUGGUUGGGAUGGGAGGAUCAGGCAAGACAACUCUUGUUGCAAAUACCUUCAACAACUAAAAUGUAAAGCGACAUUUUGACUGUUAUGCAUGGAUCACUGUUUCUCAAACUUAUGUGAUCGAAGACUUAUUCAAAAAUCUGAUCAAGCAGUUCCACCAAGGAAGGAAGGAAGAGGUGACUGAACAUUUGAAUUCCAUGAGUUAUAAAGAAUUGUUAGAGAUGUUGUCGAGAUACUUGAAGUCUAAAAGGUACCUAGUUGUAUUGGAUGACGUGUGGGAUAUUAAACUUUGGCAAGAAAUAAGGAUACCACUUCUUAAUAGGUAUCAUGGAAGUCGAAUCAUGCUUACGACUCGAAAGAAGGACAUAGCCUUCUAUUCUUUUGAAGUUGAAAGUCGUCCUAUUGAAAUUGAACCCUUGGGAAACAAUGAAGCUUGGGAGCUCUUUAGCAAGAAAGCAUUCUCAACUUACGAUAAUAAAUCUUGUCCACCAGAGCUUGAAUCCUUAGCAUGGAAACUUGUGGAUGAAGGCCUACCUCUGGCAGUGGUAACUUUAGGUGGUCUAAUGUCUUCCAAGAGGUCAUCAUCGGAAUGGAGAAGCGUAUAUAACAGCUUAAAUUGGCACUUGACUAACCAUCCUAUGCUGGAACCAAUGAGCAGCAUCUUGUUGCUUAGUUUCAACAAUUUGCCCAACCGGUUGAAGCCAUGUUUCUUAUAUUGUGCCCUUUUCCCAGAAGAUUAUCUCAUCAAAAGAAAAAGGUUGAUCAGGUUGUGGAUAGCUGAAGGGUUUGUUGAACCAAUUGAUGGGGUCACACCAGAAGAAGUUGCAGAGGGUUAUCUUGUGGAACUUAUUGUUCGUAGCAUGCUACAAGUUGAAAAGAAUGAAGCUGGAGGACUAAGAGCAUGUAAGAUGCAUGAUCUUGUGCGUGAGCUUGCUUUGUCGAUAUCAAAAAAGGAAAAGUUCGGUGCUACGUGUGCUGGCAGAGAAAUAGUAGAUAAAGCUGAAAUCCGCCGAUUGUCAAUUCAAACAACUGAAAGAGAAAUUAAUUCUUGCACAGGUAUGUCAGAGCUUCGCUCCUUUCUUGUCUUUGGCGCGUUAAAGAAAUUGCCUUCUGGAUUCAAGUUGUUGAGAGUUCUAGAUCUGGAGGGGAUAAGUUUGAGAAACAAACUUUCCUUAGUAAGCGUCUGGUGGAGUUCGCUGCGCGGACAUCGCUCUUGUCGCCGACGCCAGCAGUGCACAGUCUAAGCUGAUUUAUUGACGUUGGGAUUGGCCGUGACCAACAUAUUAGCUAAAAUCUAUAUCUAAGGUGAAUCGGGAAGGUGUCGAAUGCGAGCAGAUGUGUUGGAAUCUCCCUCAGACUCUACUAUCUGAGUUAUUGUGGCAUUCUUUUCUCACAAAAGAAAAAGGUUUGUGAGAGUCUUGGAACUCAGUAAGGUGCCUUGUACCUGUUCGACGAAUUGCCCCAGUCAAUCUGAAAGCUCUCUUCGGUACUAGCACCUCCUCCUGCCGGAAGCUUGAUCUGGCUCUGGUUGUUUGGUUGAGGUGCCUUGUACCUGCUCGACGAAUUGCUCCAGAGAAUCUGUUUUUUUUUUUUUUUUUCUCAGGGUGCCCAAGGUUUUCUGCGUUCAACCUUGCUUUAAGGUGUUGACAACUCUAAACUGAAUUAUCAUGGGCACAAAUAUCGUUUGUCCAUGGGGUUUUCUUGCAGAGACGGUUAUGCUGACAACUAAUAUGCCCCCCGCUCAACCAAUUCUGAAGGCAAGGACUUUUGCUUCUGUGGUUUCCAUCCCAAUUGAAGACGUCCAUCUCAGCUAACUUCCAACUCCGGUUGUGCGUGGGGACAAAACAUAUGUCAAAAUUAGCGAGGAUCUAUACCAAGAACAGUUGAAGUUGUUUCAAAAUAAUCUCCUUGGGCGUUUGCUCCUAAAAAAGGGUUCUACGCCAAUGAAGACCGGUGCCCUAAAAUCUUGCUUAGAAGAUGCAUGGCGCCCUACUGCACCAUGGAACCUGGUUCCUAUAGGUAAAGGUUAUUUUGAUAUCCAUUUCAAUAAGGAAGAUGAUAUGCGACGGGCAUGGGGUGGCGGUACGUGUACUCUUGCUACUGGUUUAUUCAGGUUAUCAAAAUGGACGCCAGAUUUUUAAACCAGGUGAUGUUCUCCCUCAAACUCAUGCUCAGGUAUGGAUCAAAAUUUUUGGUUUGAGUCAGGAAUAUUGGCAUCCUAGACACUUGAUGGAAAUUGCGAGAGGGGUCGGCACUCCCUUGCAACUAGAUUCAGCUACAAGGGAAAGGCAAUAUGGUUAUUAUGCACGUAUAUUAGUUGAUGUGUCAAUCUUUGCAGAUGAUUUACCUACAUCUCUUAUGGUUGAAAGAGAAAAGUCAUGGCUUCCCGGUUGAGGUGGUUUAUGAAAAUUUACCGCCCAAAUGUAGUCACUGUGGUUUGAUAGGGCACUUGGCUAAUUGUUGCAGACAACUUAAACAGAUGUCGAGAGGUCGUUCUCGUAGCCGGACGCGAAAGGGUGGUAACAUGGGGGACAACAAAACCGGAGAUCACUCUCGCAGUCAACUGCACAUGGAAUAUCGUCCCAUAAAAGAUACAACAAUACCGGUUAAUGUCUUUUGUGGGUCACAUGCUUCUGAACCUCUUCAACAGGUUGAUCAAUUGUUGCCUGCAGGUAUUGAGGCAGCGGAUGAUGGCAAUGCUGAGCCCAUUCUUCAGUCUCCUCUUGGAAUAACGCCAACUGUUUCUGGUAAUGUCAUACCAGAGACUGACACCGCUGAUACGCAUAUUAGUAUUCAAUCUCCUGGGAUUUCGCAUAUUAGCAAUUCUAUGACCGAAUCGCUGUCUCCAGAUGGAUCACAUCCUCAGAAUGGUCUUUCUUAUGGUCAGCAUUUGGGCAACACCAUUGUCCCAAACAAUCUUGGCCCACAUGAUCUCUGUGACGACUCUAGCACUCCUCCUGGCUUUGAACAGGUCGAGACGGUAGCUCAGAGUAGUCAGCAGUUGGGCAACACAGAUGUCCCAAAUAAUUUUGGCAUGCAGGAUCCUCAUGACAACCAUAGCAUUCCCCCUGGUUUUGAACAUGUUGCGACAUUAGCUAAGGAUGUCAUCGAUAUUGUCAAUCACAUAGAAGGCUGUGAUAUGGAUGGUUUUACUCCUGUGUUAUCUAAUAGUCAACGGAAAAAACAAAAGCAGCUUGCCAAUCUUAAUCAACCCUCUGAUAAACCAUAUCCAAGUAGGGUCUGAGGAAUACCAGCUCGUUAUAAAUGAAGGUUCUCUUCUGGAAUAUCCGUGGCAUUGGUAAUGAUGACUCUCGGAUGGAGCUCUCUAACAUCUGUCGGUUGCAUCACCCGAAUUUGGUUUGCAUUGCGAAGCCCAUGGUGACUUUUAAUUCUAUUUCAGCUGCUUAUUGGGACUCUUUAAAUCUAUCUGCUCUUACUUUUAAUUCUAGAGGAACUCUUGCUCCCAACCUUUGGUUACUAACAUCUUCGGCUUGUGCAGACCCUUUAGUUAUUUCUAUCUCUGAUCAACAGGUUACGGUUCGCUGUACUUUUGACCAUAUCCCAAGCCAGUUCACAUUUGUUUAUGCAAGCACUUCACCUAUCAAAAGAAGAGACUUGUGGGCUGAUUUUAUCUCUCUGCGCCCACAACACAAGUUCCAUGGAUGGCUAUUGGCGAUUUCAACGCUAUCCUGGGCGCCCACGAGUAGAUGGGAGGAGGCAGACCGUCCCAACCUUCAUGCGCUCAGUUUAGUAAUAUAUCUGACACUUGUAACUUUACCCACUUGAACACAUCUGGGGCAGCCUUUACAUGGUCUAAUGGCUGGAGGUCACGUGGUCGCACUGAAAGAAGGUUAGAUCGCUCCUUGUGUGAUAUAAGCUGGUUUGAUUCUUGGCCCCACUCUAAAUGCAUAGCAUUGCCAAAGGUAGUCUCAGAUCACAACCCCCUUAUCUUCUCUGGUUCUAGAGUUUUGAGCAGUGGUCAUCGUCCUUUCCGUUUUCAAUCAAUGUGGGUUCAACAUCCAUCUUUUCGAGAAACUGUAACUCAUUGCUGGAGAAAUACAGUUGUCUAUGGUUGUCCUAUGUUUAUCAUUCUGCAAAAAUUGAAAGCUCUAAAAACCUGCUUGCGCCAAUGGAAUUUUUCGGUCUUUGGUGACGUCCAUAAUAGAGUGGCUAAUGCUCGGCAUAAUCUUUCUAUGAUUCAACAAAGAAUUUCAACUGAGGGUAUAAAUAACGAUCUUUUCGAGGAGGAGAUUGUCGCCAAGACCACAGUAAUGGAGUCUCUUCAAAUGCAGGAGGCAUUUUGGAAAGAUAGAGCUCGUGUUAAGUGGUUAACUAAAGGGGAUAGAAAUUCUUCUUUCUUUCAUGCCUAUGCUCGUAUUAAAUCUUCCAGCUCUCAUAUCAGUUGUAUUCAUGAUGGAAACAAUCUUCUUACUGACCCGCUGGCAAUUGAGAACCAUAUUGUUAAUUUCUAUCAGACUUUGUUCGGCUCCUCUUUCACCCCUUCAGGUAUUGAUGAGGUUUGUGAAGUCAUCCAGCCGAUGGUCACAGACUCUGAAAAUGAUCUCUUAUCUGCAUUACCUACUGAUGAGGAAAUUAAAGAGGCAGUUUUCUCAUUAAGUGCUUCCAGUGCGCCAGGGCCAGAUGGUUUUCCAGGUUUUUUCUAUCACCACUGUUGGGAUAUUGUCAGCUUUGAUGUUAUUCAAUUUGUGAAGCAAUUCUUUCAAUCAAAUUGGUUAUACCCCAAUGCCAAUAGUAAUUUCUUAGUUUUGAUUCCGAAGGUGGAAGACGCUAUUUCCAUGACUCAUUUUAGACCUAUUGCUUUGGCAAACUUUCUCUUUAAGAUUAUUCCCAAAAUUUUGGCAGUUCGUCUUUCUCAUGUUGUUCAACGCAUUAUUUCUCCGCAUCAAGCUGCUUUUAUACCUGGCCGAUGUAUCACAGAUUGUAUUGGCCUUGUUUCAGAAUGUUUCAAUGUGCUUGACAAAAAAACUCGUGGUGGCAAUAUGGGAGUCAAAGUUGAUAUAGCUAAGGCUUGUGAUACUUUAGAUUGGUCAUUUCUAUUGCGGGUGCUUACUAACUUUGGGUUCUCCACUUGUUUUAUAGACUGGGUUUCUACCAUCUUAAGAUCUGCUAAAUUGUCCAUCCUAAUUAAUGGUUCCCCACAUGGUUUUUUCUCUUGUUCCCGAGGAGUGCGCCAAGGGGAUCCUCUCUCUCCGUUACUUUUCUGUCUAGCUGAGGAGGCUUUAUCAAGGGGCCUGAGUCGUCUUCAACUUGAUGGGCUUACUAAGCCAACUUUUGCUCCAAGAUGUUGUAUCUCUCCUUCUCACGUUCUCUAUGCAGAUGACUUAUUCAUUUUCUGUAGAAGUGAUGGUGUCACUCUGCGUAAUUUGCAAGGUUUCUUCGAUAGAUAUAGUAGAGCCUCUGGUCAAUUUAUCAAUAAGGCAAAAAGUACUUUCUACUUGGGCUCUACCUCAAGGCAUCGCAAAGCUGUGGUUGAGAGUUACUUGGGUUUCAAAGAAGGCAAAGCACCUUUUGUCUACCUUAGAGUUCCAAUCUUCUGUGGCAAGCCUAAAAGGAGUCAUCUUCAAGCCUUGGCAGAUAAAGCUAAAGCGAAGUUAACUGGUUGGAAGGGGAAACUUUUAUCUAUGGCAGGAAGAGUUCAACUCACUCAAUCAGUUUUUCAAAGUAUGCUCUUGCAUAGCUUUUCCGUCUAUAAGUGGCCUUCUUCCUUGCUAAGGCCUCUUUCAAGAUGUGCUCGCAAUUUUAUAUGGUCUGGUGACGUAACCUCCAAGAAGUCUGUUACCGUUUCUUGGCGUCAGAUUUGUGCUCCGAAGAAUGAAGGUGGUUUGGGUUUGCGUGAUCUUGGCCUCUCUUAAACACUACUGCUCUCUUAAAGCUUGGAUGGCUUAUUAUUACUACUGAUUCCCCUUGGAGUAUUUAUCUUCGGGAACGUUUCAAGCUACAUGGUCGCCUAUAUUCUUGUAGUUAUAAGCGAUCUUCUAUAUGGCCUGGUAUUAAAUCCAUUCUUCAUAUCUUGUUUCAGAAUUGUCGUUGGGUGAUUGGAAAUGGUUCUACUACUUCCCUUUGGGUUGAUAAAUGGCUGGAUAAGCCUAUUGUGGACGUCGUUGGUGCAACAGAGAUUGCUCCAUCUUUAUCUCGUACUAAGGUCUCAAAUAUUAUUCGUAUGGGAAAAUGGGUUAUUCCUUCUUUUUUUUCUUCUACUUUCCUAUACCUAACUAAUGAGAUUUUAGAAAUGCCUCUUCCAAUUGAUGAGGAUAAGGACGUUUUAAUUUGGGAAGUUUCUACAUCUGGUGUUUUUUCGUUCUCCGAUGGCUAUGAAAUUGUUCGUCAUCGGUUCCCUGUUAAGAGUUGGGCUUCCACUAUCUGGCGUCCUUUCAUCCCACCUCGUUACUCUAUUUUAGUUUGGAAGAUUCUAUUCAACAAGCUCCCAACGGAGGAUCAACUUCAGCGCCGAGGCAUCCCGCUGGCUCCAAUAUGCCAACUAUGUCACAAGAAUUCUGAAUCUAUUGAUCACUUAUUUUCUAGCUGUGAAUUUGCACAAUGUGCUUGGCGUUGGCUAGCUACCCAAUUUGGCACUAUUAUUCCACCUACGGGCUCCCUCUCUGAUCUUUGGCUUGUUUUUCUGUCAAAGCGGUUUUCUCCUCAUCUUCGCAAUGUCUGGCUAGCUUCAGGGUUUUUCUUACUAAUGGCCAUUUGGAAGAUGCGUAAUAAAGUGAAGUUUGAAGGCAAACCUCCCUCCUUCUCACGUCUAUGCCGCUCUACCUCGGCCUGGAUUAGGCAGGUUGGAGCUCUCACCCCUGGCCAUGUACGAGGCAUUUUGGAUAGGCAACUUUUAGUUUCUCUUGGAAUAUCGCCUAACUCCUGUAAAGCUCCUUCUAUUGUCCCUGUUCUUUGGCACCCCCCUCCUUUUUCUUGGGUUAAAGUGAAUACUGAUGGCCUUGCUAAAGGUAAUCUGGGUCCUGCGGCAUGUGGCGGGGUUUUUCGUGACUCUGCAGGUUAUUUUCUUGGUGGUUUCUCCCUAAGCUUGGGCCAUCGUACUUCUUUCUAUGCGGAGCUCCAUGCUGUCAUCCUUGCUGUCGAAUUGGCCCACGCGCGGGGCUGGCAAAAUUUAUGGCUUGAAAGCGACUCUUCUAGUGUAAUAUCAUGUUUUGCUUCUGGAUCUUUCUCUCCCCCUUGGUCACUCCAGACACGCUGGAACAAUUGUACUCUCCAUUUGCAGAACAUGGUCUUUCGUUGCUCUCAUAUUUUUCGAGAAGGGAAUGUUGUUGCUGACAAAUUAGCCAAUUUAGGGCUUCUAUCAUCUUCACUUGUUUGGCACUCCACUCCCCCUAUAGAGAUCCUUCCUCCUCUGCACUCAGAUUUCUUGGGCAUGCCAACCUACAGGUUUGUCUCCUCUUCUUGAUGUGUGUUCUCCUUUCUUUUCCUAACCUUUUUGGAUUCCCUUUUGUUUUGCAGCUUGUCUUGCAGGUUAUUACCUUUUAGGUUUUUAGAGGGGUUUGGGCUUAUGCCCGCCCAGUCUUUUCCUUGUAUUUUCUUUUCCAAGAGGGGUACGGUCUAUGUCCCCCCCUCUUUUGUAUUUCCUUUCUCAAAAGGGGUAAGGUGCAUGUCCCCACCUUUUUUGUAUUUCUUUUCUCUUGUUCUAUGAGGGGUUAGGUUUAUGUCCCCCCCUGUCUAGGUGUAUCUUCUUUUUUCUUAUCAAUAAAUUUCCCUCGUACCGCCGAGGUUCUCCAAAAAAAAAAAAAAAAAAAAAAAAAAAAAGAUCUGGAGGGUGCCCCAAUUGAUAGAUUUCCAGAUGAACUAGUGUACUUGUUCGACUUAAGAUAUUUAAAUUUGAAGGGAACUUUAAUUGAGGAGCUCCCGGAAUCCAUCGGACGGCUUCGCAACCUUCAAACCUUGAACAUCCGUGACCGUAAGAUAAAGGCACUUCCGAAAGCAAUCUCCAAGUUAGUAAACCUACACCAUCUAAUCAUGUAUUGUAACACUCUUGAUUUUACGGCCUUUAGAUAUCUCAAUGGGACAAAAGCAGCAUCUGAUCUAAGUAAAUUACAGAGACUGCAAGUUUUGUCAGCUGUUGAAUCAGAAGGAAAGUUUAUUAAAGGCAUCAGGAAUAUGACCCAACUUACAAGCCUCGGUAUUACAAAUGUGAAAGCAAGUGACGAGAUGGACCUCUGUGACUCCCUUCAAAAGUUAGAGCUCCUUCACGAUUUGUCUUGAAUGGCAAGUGAUGCAGAGGAGUUUCUUCGAGUUAAUGCACUACGUUCGCCUCCUCCAGACCUUCAAAAGGUUAAUUUGACCGGAAAACUAAAAGUACCUCUUUGGUUUAGUUCACUCCAUAACCUGACACGUAUGUAUCUAUUUUGGUCUAGACUUGAAGAAGAUGUGCUACCUCACAUUCAAGCAUUGCCGAAUCUUGAACAUCUUACCCUAUCUAAUGCAUAUGUUGGCGAAAAAUUGUGUUUCUCUAGAGGCUUCAUAAACCUUAAGCAUUUGGAGUUGGCCUGCUUCCCGGUAUUGAAUAGUAUAGCUAUAGAGAAAGGGGCGAUGCCAAAUCUCCAGUUCUUAGACAUUUAUUACUGCAUGGGGUUGAAGACAUUGCCACAGGGCAUUGAGUUCCUUGCCAACGUAGAACGCUUGAUUCUGUAUUCCGUUCCAAUGCAACUUAUAGAGUCCGUAAGAGGAGGCAUGGAUCAUCCAAAGGUACAACACAUUCCUGAAAUCCACCUGUAUUAUGAGAGAGAAAAUAUGGAGUGUCAUGAAAGUUUUUUCGGUAUUCACUCUCGUAGAAGGUACGCACACUUUUAUCCUUACAUAAAAAUUUGAUUAAUGCUAGAUUUACCACAUUUUUUGUAUCACAUUUGUACCACCUUUUUUUAUAGAGGUAUGGCCCAUUGACAUAUGUAGGUCUUAUUUUUAUUAGAGAUGUGGUAUAAAUGUGCUAUGAAAAUGUGGUAAAAGUAGCAUUUUUGUAAAAACCACAACAUAAUCAUUUGAACUAUUACGUUAGAAAGUUAAAAAGUUGGUGAUUUUCACACUCCUAUUUUUUUUUUCCUUAUACGCUCCUCUUGUUUUUGUUCGUUAGUGUUUUGAUUUAUUCAAUUGUUAGGCUACGAAAAAGAGGAAAUAGUGCAUCAGAGUGUAAAAAUCAUUUUCCCUUACAAUUUGCUUGUCCAAUCUUAUAUAGAAGUCUGGCAAAGACAUAAAAUAUGCAUGCAUUGAGAUUUUAUUCAGUAACUAUGUUUCUUUUGUUUUGUAACAUCCUUUUUGCAUAAUCAAGCCUCAGAAGCACUUGUGAGACUGCAGCACUUGUGAGACUGCAUUGAGUUCUCUUUUGUCCCAGUUGAUUUUACGGUGAAUCUUGACUUUCGUUAUAGUAACAGAGAUGACUAUAUACAUGUUGAGUCAUUUGCCCUGCAAGGAAGAAUCCGUCCAUUGUGUGUUGUGGGAAGUUGCAAACAUUGAUCGAUCUUGGUUUCUUAUUUGUCCUUUGUGAAAUGGAAUAAUGCCCAAGAUUCUAUUUGUGUAACUGAAACUUAUAUUAUUGAUUGCUUGCGUGUGUUUUGAUGUAAUAAUAUUGGUUUGGAACUGAAUUUGUCACUGAUGAGAAUAAUGCUUAAGAUACUGUUUGUGUAACAGGAACUUAUAUUAUUGUUUGAUUGCGUGUAUUUUGAUAAUAAUAUUGGUUUGGAACUGAAUCUGUCAUUGAUGAGACCAAUUCUAACUAAACCAAUGAUUAUGACCCAUUUUUCAUUUUCAAUAUUUAUUGCUUUUUAUCAAGUUUUCAAAUAUAUAUUGUUUUAGGUAGGCAAAUUUUGUGGCGGAUGUUUUAGCUUACUUUGGUUUUACCUGAGAAAUUAUUAAAUGGUACGGUAUUACCACGUUGGCCGGUAAUACUUUUAUUCAAAUUUUAACAUGUGUGCAGUUUCUUAUAGGCUUACAGCUGGAUUAAAAAGCUUUCUUAAUUUAAAACUAAUUUUUUUUUUCAAUUUAACCAAAAUUAAAAGAACUAAAAAUAAGAGGCGUUUUGACACAAAUGCCUAGGGUUUAGCUUUUAAAAUUUUGAGAUAAGACCAUCUCCAAUCGAAGGGUCCAGAGGGUCGAAAAUAGUCUGAAAACCGUCUCCAACCGAGGACUAGGCCAAAGGGCUUGUGGGCCCCACUAAACAAAAAAAGGCCAAAAGGCUAACCGAUUGGCCCAACCCAGCCAGCCAACCCCGGGCCGAGCCAGAAAUUUGAAUGCAACAACUAGCUAACAUCAGCUAGCCAUUAUAUUUGAAUUUUUUUUUUGGGCCAAAAUUUUUUAAAAAAUAUUUAAUUAUAGGCCUAGAAAGUUGAUUAGUUCAAUGUUGGGUGUUUGGAUGUUCCUUUUAUAAGCAUGUUUGGUUGCUCAAAUCUCUCCCAUGGACGAUGUGGGACAAAUAUAAUGGGUGCCACACAUGCAAGCUUUUGCUUGCUUAAAUCUCUCUCACAAACGAUGUGGGACAAAUAUAAUGGAUAGUUUUUAAAUUUAAGUUGUUGUAGUUUUUAAAUUUAAAUAAUAAAUUAUGUUUGGUCCUAUGACCCUUUGGUUCUCGAUUGGAGAUGUUUUUUUGUCACAUGACUAUGUUUGAUCCUCUGACCCUCGGUUGAAGAUGAUACAAAAUAUAACCAUGCACUGUUCAUUAAAGUAUUAAUUUCUUGGACGGACAGACGGAGAUGACAUAACCUUUUUUCCUCCCCUCCCUAUUCUCUCCCAUGGCGACUGCCGUGCUGCCAGUAUCCGAGCCCGCGAGACAGCAACCCUGACCAGGUCGGGGCAGAUUCGAGGCCCAUGGACUAUCAGAAGAAGAGGCCCGCGUUUGAGUCAUCACCGAAAUCGUCAGCUCCAUGGUCGACCUCUCCCGGAAAGGCCAAAACGUCUACCUAAACGCCCUCAAGACCUCCGCGUGCCGCAAGUACGGCAUCUCACGUGCGCCGAAGCUGGUCGAAAUGAUUGCGGCUCUACAGGAGUCAGACCGUGAGGCUCUUCUUCCCAAGCUCUGGGCCAAGUCGGUCCCAACCGCUUCGGGUAUCGCCAUUAUCGUGAUGUCGAAGCGUCAUCGGUGUCCCCACAUCACCACCACCGAGAAUAUUUGCGUGUACUGCCCCAGCGGUCCCGAUUCGGACUUCGAGUACAGCACUCAAUCUUACACUGGAUACGAGCCUACUAGCAUGCGCGCAAUAUUCCUGAUAGAGUAAUAUGAAGAUACUCGCCAGGUAUUCGUUCUUCAUAUGUGAGAGAGUGCUUCGUUACAUGAAAUGAUCAUUCUAUUCUUGUCAUGUGCAAAAGUGUUGAGCUGAUGGAAGAUAAACACUUAAAAAGAUUAUGAUUGUAAUAUUGAGUAGAAUAUCUAAUUUAAUUUCGCUUCAGCAUAUAUAGAUGAAUUAAGGAUCUCACUUUUCCAGAACUUCUUGUUUCUCUUAUUUGCGUAGUAAUUUGUGCAUGGGUUUUACCGAUCGAGCAGGUUGUCUAUACUGACACUUACCAUGAUUUGUUUUUGUUCUUUUUGUAAACAGGAUAUUCUAGCUGGGUUACCGCGAUUAAGAAAGUGUGGCCGGAACACUACUUGUCCCGAACUCAUAGGAAAGUGUUCUAUUGUUCGUGAACUCCACGUUCAUGGGACUGCUGUUCCAGUUCAUGGGUGGUGGUAUCCACACUUCUCUUUUAUCUUUCUCUUUCCUCUUAAUUUCCAUCUGUCAGAUCGAAUGUAUAAAAAAAGAUUAAAUGAUAGAAAUUAACAGAAAGUGUAGGAGGUAAAAACGAGUGUGUCAAUAUCAACACCCUUUUUAGAUUGUUGUAAAUGUCAUCCAUUGAUUCACCUGGCUGGCUCACUUUCGUACAUUUUUGUUCGUUUGGUCUACUUUUGUGACGCAAAAAUCUUAAAAAAAGAAGGAAAAAUACAGAUAUAAAAAAUUACAGACAAUCCUUGCAAAACUGCAAUGGAAAAUAAGCCAGAAGAUUGAAACUAUGGCACAGUUCAUUCUUUAUAGCAAAAUCUACUGCAAUAAGAGACUGAGACCUUACCUUUCCUCCUCUAGGAAAAAGCUUCCGUUUCCCCGAGCAAGUAUGAGCAUGACAAAAUUGGUGCAAGAAAAACUCUACCAACAAAUCAAGGUGUAAGGACAAGUAUAAAAACAAUAACCUAUCUGAAAUUAUAUCAACAAGAGCAAAAAGAAAUACCAUUAAGACGGCGGGCUGAAGGACUUUGAUUAAUCGGAAAACAGCUAUUGGCAAGACCCUACAUUAUAAAAGGGGAAAAAGUAAAAAGGAUUAAACAAGGUAACGUACAAGAAUCAACAAUACAACCAAUUAUAGUGCCUUAAAGCAACCUCACAUAGGUGGUGAUUCCGUGCAACAGAUGCAGGAUUGCAUUUGGUUUUGCUCGACUUGGUAUUCAUCACAGCAUCGCAAUGCAAAGCUCCGCAUAAAUCAGCUAAGCACUUGCUGCCACUCGGCAUUCAUCAAUUUUUUUUCAAAGAGCAAAAGAGAAACCAUAUGACGGAAACAAAAAUCAUACAUACGAUUAAAGAUAUAAUAGAAAAGAUAGAGAUCAAAUAAAUUUAUAAUCAUCUAUUGAUGUAUAAUGCAAGUAUGAUUGAAGCAGACGCAGAAUAGCUCUUUGGGCUUUGAAACAACUCCAGAUGCUAACUACCCUUCCCCCGGAGUACCAAGGUACAAAAUACACAUCUUAAGGAAAGAUUAUCACUUGGAUAUCUCUUUAUCUGUGUUAUACAAUGCUAUCUUGUACAGAAGUUUAUGCCAUGUAAUUGUUCUUUGUCAUUUUUUAAGAAAUAGUUUUAUGAUCUAAUUUAUUGCAUCAUGCUACAAGCCUACAACUAAAAUGAUAACUUCAAAUUUGCUUAAUUAUUUUUUUCGAAAGCACGUUUAUGAAACCCCAACACAACAGGGAACUGAUAAACAUGGACUAGAUGCAAACGCUUUUAAAAGAAAAGUUCUUUCAUUUGCAGAUAAGCUGAAUAGAGAUAAUUCGAGGGUUUAUCAACUAGAAGGACAAAAUAUAAAUAUAACAGAGGAUAACAAACGCACACUUUUAUCCUUGCAUAAAAAUUUGAGCAAUGCUAGAUUUACCACAUUUGUAUCACCUCUCUUAUAGAGGUCAGACUUAUCAACAUAUGUAGGUCUCAUUUCUAUUAGAGAGGUGCUACAAAUGUUGUAUGAAAAAUAUGGUAAGAGUAGCAUUUUUGUAAAAAAAAAUUCCACGACCUAAUCAUUUGAACUAUUACGUUGGAAAGGUUGGUGAUUUUCAUACUCCUAUGUUUUUUUUCUUAUGCGCUCCUCCUCUUGAUUUUGUUUGUUAGUGUUUUGAUUUAUUCAAAUCUAAGGCUACGAAAAAAGAGGACGUAGUCAUCGAAGUGUAAAAUCAAUUUUCCUUGUAAUUUGCAUGUUCGAUCUUAUUCACAAGUUUGGCAAAGACAUAAUAUAUGCUUGCAUUGAGAUUUUUUUCGGUAACUGUGUCUCUUUUGUUUUGUAAUAUUCCUUUUGUAGAAUUAAACCUCACAAACACUUGUGAGACUGCAGUGAGUUUUUCUUUUUACCAAUUAAUUUUGUAGUGGAUCUCGCAUUUCGUUAUAGUAUCAGAGCAAACUAUAAAUAAGUGUUAGAGUCAUUCGCCCUGCAAGGAAGAAUCCGUUGUUUGUUUGUUUCUUAGGACGACUAGGUGCCUGAGGAAAAUCCGUGUAUUGAUAUAAACCUAUUGUUCUUGUAGCUUUUCGAUAAAGACCCGAAAUUUCCACCUGAGCUCUGAAUAUUUUCAAUUUCAAGUUCUGGACUUCUUCUGCAACUGGGUCUUGCCAAGAAACUGGUGUAUUUGCAGAGAGGUUCAUGACUGAAGUUGCAGUGAAGGAAAGCUGAGUCUGAGUGUUAAUUGCAGAAGUUCCGAGUUGGAAAUUAGUCGGGGAAGAAGAAGGGGAGAGGGGGGGAGGGAGUUUGGGGGUUGUGGAAGAGAGAAGAGGGUGAAAAGCACAGGUGAUAAGCCAUUUUCCUUCUCUGUAUCUUGGUUUGACUCACUUUUGCCUUUUAUUCAUAAUAUUUCAAAGCAAUUGCAUGAAAAGCAAGGAAAAUAAAGAAUUGAAAUAGGGACAAGUGGGGUGCUGUGUUUCAUGAAUGAAAUGAUGUUGUGAAUGAUAUUUGACAAGAAAAGAGGCCGGAGCUCUUGGAGUGAAGCUUUAAUGGAUGACAAAUGGAUGUGAACACAGUCGACCAGAGCAAUGAGCUUGAACUCGAGUAAAAAGCGAUGUAGUAUUUUUGUGUCAAAUUUUUAUUAGUUAAAAAAAAGUUAUAAUAGUUGGAUAAAAUUUUAGUCACAGUCAAAAUUUGAGUAAUGAUAUUCAUACCAUAUUUUUUAUACCACCUCUGAUAUGGACAUCCACAUCAUUUGAAAAAUUUGCAAAACCCAAGAAAAUGAAGGAGAAAGACUCUUCGUAUAUCACAAUCAUCAUUUAAUUAACUAAUUUUUCUUAUUAUUAGUUUAUUAAAUAAUAAACUAAAUUUAAAAAUCUGAUUAAUUCAAAUGAUGUGGUUGUAUACCACCUAAAACGGUAUAAAAAUGUAGUACAAAAAUAUGGUAUGAAUAAUAUUACUUCCAAAAAAUUUAAGCCUUUGUCAUUAGUUUUUCUUAUAAAAUAAAGGUUAUCUAUUUUCUUUUUCUUUUUAUUCGUGCAGCAAGUGAGGUUAUUUUUCUACCGAUUCGAAUCCAGAGCUUGACAUUCCUUACUUUAACUUGGUGUAUUUUUAAUCAUCAUCGUCAAAUAAUGAUAAUAUGAUUCACCACCCUACUUAGUAUCAUUAAAUGAUUUUAAAUUUCAUCUAUUCACUAAACAUAUUUUGAAAUUUAAACUAAUAUAACAAUGGUAUUCACUACACAUAUUUCAAAACUUAAAAUAAUGUAACUGUAAGAAUUUGAAGGUAAAAGAGUCUUACAAUGGUGAAAGGAGAAACCUUGCAAGGGUUUAUAAAAGGUUAGACUAAUUCCCAUAUUACUAAUUAGUUUUAUGGUGGAACCCUAACUUUUCAUAGUAUCAGAGUAGGUUGGCCCACGUGUGAAGCUCAAUAGCUACAUGUGCUCCACGUCACCUAAUUCGUGUUGUUCACGUGUUUGGUUUGGAAAUUAGCCACACGUGAGAAUAUGAAGAUAAAAAAGUUUCACGUUGAUGAAAAUAGAUCAUUUGCAAAGAUUUAUAAAAAGUUAAAUUACUUCUUAUAUAAUAAACUAAUUUUAUGAUAAAAACUCAAUUUUCUUAAAUAAUAAUAAUAAAUAAAGUGAUGUACGUGCACAAAAAUAUUUCCUAUAUAAACUUUAAUAGGAUCUCACCUCAUUAAUGCAUCCUAAGCCGAUUCCUAUCACGAGUUUCAAGGUUUUGCAAAUUGCCACAUGCAUCAAAUUAUUACUUUUCUCCAUGAGUCUCGGUUUUUGUCAAAAAGUCUACAUACAUAAACCAUUUGACGUAUCAGUUUUGUCCAAACAUAGUGGUCUUUGUCCCAUUAAAUAUUGGCAAAGAGUUGUCUUAUACGGAAUAGGAUCAUCUCCCAUUUUUUUUUUGUGAAAAUUCGAAUGAUCAAUUAAUUGUAUAUUGUGUAAUUAAAAAUUAAUUUUAAUUUUAUAUUUAAAAUUAAAUAUAAAUAAUACUUAAUGAAAACUGAUCCUACAAUAUACGAUGUAUGAACAAAAUUAAUUAAUCUUCGGAUCCACACAAAGAGGAUCCAGAGAGGAUCCUCGUUCGUCUUAUACCUCCUCUUCGGAUCCUCUUUGUGGGAAUCCGAGGGAUAAAUCAAUCUUGUUUCUUCAUCGUAUAUUGUGCGAUCAAUUUUCGUUAAGUACUAUUUAUAUUCAAUUUAAAAUUUAAAAUUUAAAUUUAAAAUGAUUUUUAACCAUACGAUGUACGAUGAACGAAUAAGAUUGAUUGAUUCUCCGAAUCCCCACAAAAAGGAUACAAAGAGGAUCCUUGUCAUUAUUGCAGGUUGUAGACUGUAAUAUUAAGGGGCUAAUCGUUAGAUUCGUUAAGCAAAUGGACAAAUAGGCUCAUCUCCGUUAGUAUUUAAUAAUUAAGUUUCGUACGUAAUUAAUUAUUGUUUAGGCUUGAUCUAAAGACAGACACAUACUCCCGUAGUGCUCUCCUCACUACGAUUGCGUGAACUCCAACGCAAUAAAAUUUGAAGAUACGACAAAAAUUUUACAAAACUCGGAAUAUCAAGAGAUUAUUAUAAUUCUACUAUGAUCAGUGCACUACCAAUUAUUUAAUGUCUUUUUUCUUCUUCAAAUAAUUGGUUUUGGUCGGUGGGACGCACCCACGUGACCACUCCUCUUCCCCGUGUAGUUUCACUCUUCCCCUCACGUUUCACUCAGCUGUGCCACACUCAUUCUCUUGAAAAUUUGUGAGGGAUAGAUACCCUCUUAAACUUAAAAGUAGUGCUUCUUCCACCGGAGGUCUUACUUUUGCUCCUCCCCUUCCAUAAUUUGGGUUUUGGUCUUUCACCUUUCUAUAAGUAAAGCCAAACCCCAACACUAAUUUCUCAAUGUUCCUCCCUUUUAAAGUAUGUAAAAAUUACGGGAGCAUUUUUGUUUACUAUUAUGAUUAUAGUGUAUACUUAUUGUAUAUCUAAUCAUUUGAUACGCGGUUAACUUUCACAUUGAAUAUUACUUUUUCAAUUUAAAAAAAAAUAAUCAAAGUUAAAUGAAAAAACACGUAACAAAUAAUUAAGUGUAUAAUAAGCAUAUACCAAAAUUUAUAACGGUGAGCAAAAUGCUCCCAAAAAUUAAUCUUCACUUUCCUCUUCUUUCUUGUAUCUCAUAAGGAGAACCUACUGCUGUUUUCAAGUUUCUACACUAAAUAAAAUUCUCAAUUUCUGCGCAUGGGAUUAGUAAAAAGUAGGAGUUGUGUACAUGUAAUUAGGGUUAACGUUUUGUAAGUUAUAGCUCCUCUAAAAUGAUUUCGAAUUUCGAAGUUAUCGACCAAAAAAACCCUCCCCCCUUCACCAAAACAAUCUGGUGUAUAUAAUAUGGAGAAAGCUUCCAUAAAACGAUAGAUGUAUAUACUAUUUGUAUCAUACUUGACCAAUCCCGAAACUACUGAGCACCGGUCAACGUUAUACCGUCAAGGACCCAGAAGAGUUUCUCUCCAACCGGAAGGCUAAUCACAGUGCGACAUGUGUCGACAUCAGAAGCCAAUUAUAGCACGACAUGUGUCAACAUCAGAAGCCAAUCACAACAUAACACGUGUCAAUGUCAGAACAAAGCUAGAAACUAUUUUCUAUAAAAGGAGAUCAUUCUCCCACAAUAUUUCCUAAUGUCAUUUGUACUAAAUCAUUCCCUAGUACUCACUAAAUGAGAGCUUGAACUUAUGUAAACCCUUCACAAUUAAUGAGAACUCCUCUACUCCGUGGACGUAGCCAAUUUAGGUGAACCACGUACGUUUGCUUCCUUGUCUCUAUCCGUUUACAUACUUAUCCACACUAGUGACCGGAGCAAUCUAGCGAAGGUCACAAACUUGACACUUUCUGUUGUACCAAAGUCCUCACUGAUUUUGUGCAUUAACAUUUGGCGCCGUCUGUGGGAACGACACUUAUUCCCACUCUCUUCAGCUUUGUCAAGUUGGUUUCCACCAUUCGUACACUUUCUUUUAACCAUGCAUCUCUCUUUAACAUGGGGAGCGAAGGAAGCCACAAUACACAAAAUGACACCCAUUUUGCACCUAGUGCGAAGCAACGAAAGAAGGAAGGAAAGAGGGUUGCUCUUCAAGCUAAAGUCGAUAAGCUAGAAGUUCAGAACAACAAGAUAGCAAUGAAGGAUGAGGUCCUCCAGGAGCAAUAUGAGAAGCUCUUCGAGAUGCUCCACGAAGCUAGGCAUGCUCAAACAUAUGAACUCGUUGCCCCCAUGGAAGUUAACUAUCAACUGGGUGCCCCCCAACACAGAGGGUCACCUGCCUUCGACAUAGAUAUCCCUGAUAGGGAGCGAGCUACCCAUCGAUAUGAUAAUCAACAUGAGACUUCUCUCAAUCCAGUUGCUUCAACCCGAAGCAGGAGAAGUGGAGGAAUACUCCUCCUUGCGGAAGCGGCAGAAUGAUCGAAAGCUGUUUAUCGCAAUUGUCGGGACUUCCUGAAGCAACGUCGAGAGAAAUCCAUCCACAUAAGCUCAAAGAUCAAUGACCCAAGGGUUUAUGAGAUACGCGGUCCUCUACCACGGCCCAGGCCGACUGCCAAUCUAGGGAAGGAAUGACAAGUCCCAGAGGAAUAUGAAGGUAUAGGGGACUCGGAGGUAUUCCGACAGACUCGCCUUAGAAGUCAGUGCAGUGAGUCCAAGGAAAAACCACAUGCUCUUGUUCAAACUUUCCUACUUCCAAGAGGCAAUGAAGACUUACGGAAGAAAAUUCCAGUGGUACACGACUACACUCAAGACCCCCUUGUCCUACAGCUCAUUGAGGAAGUAAACAAAGUGAAGGCCGAACAUCAGGCCGAGAUACCUGACUAGAACCAACCCAGGCCUGGCCUUCUCACAAGGAGGAUCCUCGACACCCCCUUCAAGCGAAGACAAAACAAAAGCUUGGUUUACAACUCUAUGCUGGAAGGGAGGACCCGAUUAAACACCUUAACCUCUUUGAGUCCACCAUGGCAUAUCAGAUGCACACCGACGAAGAGCGAUGUCUUCUCUUCCCUUCCACCCUCUUUGGCGGAGCUUUAAACUGGUAUUAUUGUCUUCCACCCGAGACAGUAGACUUAUUUGAGGAACUAAGGAAACUAUUUGUCUCUCAACACAUCUUCCAGACCAAUCGCUUACAUUCUGCAUAUAAGUUGUACACUAUUCACCAGAAGCCAGACAAGUCACUACGAGAGUAUGUCGGUCGCUUCAUCCAUGAGUAUUCUCACUGCGCUGAGGCAGAUGACAAAAUCGCCCUCAAAGCCUUCACGACAGGCCUACGUGAUUGUUUCUUCAAGCACAUGAUCAAUUCCAACACUUGGAAGACUUACUCUGAGGUGAUGACACAAGCUUACAACCAUGCCUCUGCCGAAGCAAGGACAUACCAAGGGAACCCCCAUAUGGUUAACCCCUAUCAACAAGUGGGAAGUGGAAGUCAAGUUCUACCAAGUGAAGAGAUCUUGGCCAUUUAGACACCCAUUGCAUCAUCUCUUGCCUCAUUUAGCUACUCGCUAAGUCACCAAACAUAUUUGUCUCUUGGUAAGAGGAAGGAUUUUUACUCUCACCAAGCCCAUUACAACAAGAGGGAUAAAAGUUUAUAUCAAGACAACUAGGGGUGAACGUACCGUCGACUAUUAUGACUAUAGGGCCAAGCCUUACUCUUUCAAAGUGGAGGACUAGGUACUGAAGGAAAUGCUAUUAUAAGAAGGCAUACACAUUACAAAUGUUUUGACUCUUAACUGCCUGAGAUCUUUUGUCUCACAAGCCAUUCGACAAAUAUUUAAAGAAGGUAUGUUAGAGAUACAGGUAUUUGGUGACGUCACGUGUCGAUUCUGGACGUAUGUUGGGAUCAGGGCGUGACAGAAAAGCUCACGGUACUGUUCAUUUUAACGAAAAACCAUAUUUUUACACUAAAAAGUCAAUCAUGGUAUUAUUCACUUUAUCGUUAAAACUCAAAGUUUUCGAACCAUUUUCAUUAGUUUUCCUUAUAAAGAAUUGGCAGCGGUGUUGAGCUACUUGGAGUCUAGAAUCUGGCAAGAAACAAGAAUUGCACUUUGGUAGAUUGAUGCAAAAUUAUUAUGAACGAUAAAUAUGUCAUACUUGGUGGAAUCGUUGGAAGAGUAUUAAUGGAAAUGAAUAACUAUAAUCAUUUGUUGGAAUCUUAAAUUGGAAAGUAUGAGAUUUAUAGAAACAUGGAACUAAAAGUAGUUGAGUCUACGCUCGGGGCACCUAGAUCUAUGUUCUGCUCAAAGUCACCAAAUAAGGGAGCGAAACCCUUUCAGUUAAAAUCAGAUAAAAUGAUCAAAUUGAGUUUUGAAUUCGUGGACUGAAAAAUGACCAUUGAAAAAAGAAAUAGAGUUAUUUGAUGAUUGGGUUAACAUAAUAGAAUAAAGAGAAAACAUUGCAUUCAUGCUUUAUUAUUGCUUCUGCUGAAUUAAAUGCAUUUUGAUUUUACCCUAUUAAGCUAGUAGCUCACCCAUGACUAGUGUUAAAUUAGAGACUUAAAAAGCAGUUGGUUUUAUGGAUGUUUUAAAAAGUAGUUGGUUUUACAGAGGGUUUUUUUUUUUUAAUUUGUUUUUUAACAAACAUUAUUAUUUACAGUUAUAUUAAGGAGAUGAGGUGAACUAAGUUUCACAAUGGGUUAGUGAUAAUGUAGUUCAAAUUCACCUUUAACGAGAAUCGGACCAAAGACGACUCACUAAUAAGUAAAGAAAAAUAUCACUAAACUGUAGUACUAAGUAACGAGUUAAUAGGACCUCACCUCGUUAAAUAUUGUCGGCGAGCAAAAUACAACCUACGCGGUUUUAGUUUCACGGUACACAAAAUGCCAAAAGUAUUGGUCUUUCUUUUUUCUAAUCAAACAAAUAGUAUUGGUCUUUGUCUCGUGCCUUAGAUUAUUUCCAAUUUUCAUAAAUUAUAAUCGGUCCUUCUUUUUAAAUCAAACAAAAAGUAAUGGUCUUCUACCAAAAAACAAAAAGUAAUGGUCUUUGUCUCAUGCCUUCCAUUAUUGUCCAAUUUUUUAAUCAAACAAUGGUAUCGGUCUUUGUCUCAUGCCUUCAAUUAUUUUCCAAUUUUCAUAAAUUAUAAUCUUCAUCUUUUUCUCCGUCUCAUACUUGAUAUUUUCAUCGAGUUUAUUGACACAGGAGUCCAACAAUACCGUAAGUUAUAGCUUAAUGCGAUUGAAGCAUAUCAUUGCUACUCUUUUGUGAGCUCUCAUAUGCCCCAGAGUAUGUUCUUCCAAUUGUUUCUAAUUCCAAAUUGAAUUUCUCUAAUUUUACUUGUUUCUCCGUUGGAUCGAAUGAGAAUAGAUAAGAGCGAGCUCCAAUCCCUUCGUCUCAUAUUUGAUAUUUUAUUUUCAUUGACAAAGGAGGAGACCAACAAUAACGACUCAGAGCAACUGAAGCAUAUCAUUGCAACUCUUUUGUGAGCUUCCACAUGCCCCAGGGUAUGUUAUUCUGCACUCUUACUACCAUAUCUAAUAUCCUUCUGGAAAUUUUCUGAAAGAAAGUAAGGGCUUAUGAGCUACAUCUGACUUUUGUUUCACUUUUUCUUCUUCUUAUUAUAUAUGUAAUUCAGAUUCUGAGCACUCAUCAUUAAACACAAGACUUCAAAUUCGAUUUCUUCCUCAACAAUUACAUAUGUUGGAAAAAUAAAAUGCAAAAUAAAAGUUAUCUAUUUUCUGUGUAGACGGGUCUAGGCGGCUGCCUUAGUAGGUCUAGGCGUCAUUUCUUAAUUUUCAAAUUCCUAGGCAUUAAUUGGGGCGGUGGCCGACUGUCGAGCGCCACUGGGAUUUUUAGAACAGUGGUUAACGUGUUGACCCAAGACUUGUUAUUUUCGAAUCGUUCAAUGUCUGAUUAACGGGUCGUGCAAAAAAUUGUGUAGGAUUUGUGUAGAGUCCAAUCUACUAGACCCAAAACAUUCCGUUCUUUUCGACGUGUGUACUUUCAUUUAACAACAAUUUUGUGGUACUUGUCAACUGCCACCUACAAAGAAUUGAAACUUUUGGUUAUCCUUAAACACUGACUAAAAUCCAUGACAUUUGGUGGAAGAAUUAGAUUGAAUGAGUUCGAAAGUUUCAAUCAUAGAUUUUUGUUCUUGAACCAAAUUCUUUAAUUCUGUGUUCUUGCAAAAAAGACUCGAGAAGUAGUUUUCGAACUUUUGAAGUUUGGCCCUUUGUUAAACUGAAUGAAAGUUAAGAACAGAAAUUUAAAUUUCUUGAGUACCUUAUUUAGAUCUUGAUUUCUUUUGGCUUGUGGUUUCGUUUUGAAAACUAAGCACAUAGUUUGUAAAAUACAAAAAUUUAUCCAUUGCAUUCUUUUUUUCUUUUCCUGUUGUUUUGAAACUUGUCUAUUCUGCAGACAGAUUGGAUAACAAGUAUCGAAGGCCAAAAUGGAGUCAGCUGCAUCACUAUUGAUUGGGAAAAUUGCGGCCAUUCUUGAGAACGAAGCAUCUUCCAUAGCGGCAGUCCGUGAUGAAGUUGAUGAGCUUAAGCUGGAGCUCAUAAGCAUGAAAUCUUUCUUAAUAGAUGCUGAAGGCAAGGAACCACAAACAGAAGGAGAGAAAAACGUGGGUUACAAGCGUCAGAGAUUUGACCUGCGAUGCUGAAAAUGUCAUUGAUGAGUUCCUGUAUCACAUAUAUGACAAGCAAAGUGCGACUCCAUUUGCAAAAUUGCUCCACAGAACCAUUUACUUUCCAAAGAAUCUUUGGCAUCGGCAUCGAAUAGCCAAAAAAUUACAGAAAAUCACAAAAAAGAUCAAAGCCAUUCCAGAGAGGAAUGAGAGAUAUGUGUGUCUCUACAAUAGAAGGAACAAGUUCGGAUAGUGUUCCCAGAUGGGUGAAGAACAAAGCCAAGUCUUCUCUUUAUAUUAUGGAAGACGAACUAAUCGGGAUUGAAGACAAGAAGCAAACGUUAAUGGGGUUAUUGAUGAAUGGAGAGGAAAAUGAAAUGGUUGUGUCUGUGGUCGGGAUGGGAGGAUCAGGCAAGACAACUCUUGUUGCCAAUACCUUCAACAACGAAAAUGUAAAGUGGCAUUUUGACUGUGUUGUGCUAGGAUAGCACAAAACCUUAUGGAACAAACUCUUGAUAACCCACAGGAAAUAUAUCAAAUGAAAUGCAAGAACAAAAUAUUAAAGACACCAAGAUUUUAACGAGGUUCCUCAACAGUCAGUAUAACUGGAGUACGUCCUCGGAGCAGUAGGAGCUCACCCAAUAAUCCACUAUCAACCAAAUGGGAGUUUACAAAGUGUUGGCAAUCUCACAACCCAAAUAACCCAAUACACCCAAUAGCUCUCACACACCACAGAAACAAAUAGAGAAAGCAAUAUAAUGAAUAAUUUCUUCUCUAUACAUGUAGCUCAAAGCUAUUACAACAAUAACUAUGAUGGAUGAUUGCUAACCAAAAAGAAGAGCACCUUCUUCUUCUUUUCUGCUCUUAGUUUUCUGCUCUCUGCAGCUCUCUUUGCUCUCUCAAAGAUGGGCUACUAAAACAGAAAAAUGGUGCACACUUCCUCUAUCAUUCUCACUUCCGUAUCCUCACUUCAUCAAUACAAAAGCACCCAAUAAAAAAUUCAAAAACAUCAUCAUGACCAUCAAUUUUUCAUUUCAACAAACAUAAUCAUGAUGCCUCCUCAUCAUGAUGUCUUUCACCUUUUUUUAUUUUGAUUUGUUUAUUAGCUGAAAGUUGUUUUGUUUUGUUGUCCACUUGGCCACUUGGCCACAAUUCAACAGACUGUUAUGCAUGGAUCACUGUUUCUCAAACUUUUGUGAUCGAGGACUUAUUCAAAAAUCUGAUCAAGCAAUUCCACCAAGGAAGAAAGGAAGAGGUGACUGCACAAUUGGAUUCCAUGAGUUACAAAGAAUUGUUAGAGAUGUUGUCGACAUACUUGAAGUCUAAAAGGUACCUAGUUGUAUUGGAUGAUGUGUGGGACAUUAAACUUUGGCAAGAAAUAAGGAUACCACUUCUUAAUAGACAUCAUGGAAGUCGAAUCAUGCUUACAACUCGAAAGAAAGACAUAGCAUUCUAUUCUUUUGAAGUUGAAAGUUGUCCUAUUGAAAUUGAACCUUGGGAAAACAAUGAAGCUUGGGAGCUCUUUAGCAAGAAAGCAUUCUCAACUUACGAUAAUAAAUCUUGUCCACCAGAGCUUGAAUCCUUAGCAUGGAAACUUGUGGAUAAGUGUGAAGGCCUACCUCUGGCAGUGGUAACUUUAGGUGGUCUAAUGUCUUCCAAGAGGUCAUCAUCGGAAUGGAAAAGCGUAUAUAACAGCUUAAAUUGGCACUUGACUAACCAUCCUAUGUUGGAACCAAUGAGCAACAUCUUGUUGCUUAGUUUCAACAAUUUGCCCAACCGGUUGAAGCCAUGUUUCCUAUAUUGUGCCCUUUUCCCAGAAGAUUAUCUCAUCAAAAGACAAAGGUUGAUCAGGUUGUGGAUAGCUGAAGGGUUUGUUGAACCAAUUGAUGGGGUCACACCAGAAGAAGUUGCAGAGGGCUAUCUUGUGGAACUUAUUGUUCGUAGCAUGCUACAGGUUGAAAAGAAUGAAGCUGGAGGACUAAAAGCAUGUAAGAUGCAUGAUCUAUUGCAUGAGCUUGCUUUGUCGACAUCAAAAAAGGAAAAGUUUGGUGCUACGUAUGUUGGCAGAGAAAUAGUAGAUAACGGUGAAAUCCGCCGACUGUCAAUUCAAACAGCUGAAAGAGAAAUUAAUUCUUGCCCAGGUAUGUCAAAGCUUCGCUGCUUUUUUGUCUUUGGCGCUGGCAUAUUUAUGUUCAAGAAAUUGCCUUCUGGAUUCAAGUUGUUGAGAGUUCUAUAUUUGGAGAAUGCUCCAAUUGAAAGAUUUCCAGAUGAACUAGUGUACUUGUUCAACUUAAGAUAUUUAAAUUUGAAGGGAACUUUAAUUGAGGAGCUUCCAGAAUCCAUGGGACGGCUGCGCAACCUUCAAACCUUGAACAUCCGUGACAGUAAGAUAAAGGCACUUCCAAAAGCAAUCUCCAAGUUAGUAAACCUACGCCAUCUAAUCAUGUAUUGUUACGCUGUUGAUUUGAUGGCCUUUAGAUUUCUCAAUGGGACAAAAGCAGCAUCCGAUCUAAGUACAUUACAGAAACUGCAAGUUUUGCAAUCUGUUGAAUCAGAAGCAAAGAUUAUUAAGGGAUCAGGAAAUGACCCAACUUACAAGCCUUGGUAUUACAAAUGUGAAAGCAUGUGACGAGAUGGACCUCUGUGACUCCCUUCAAAAGUUAGAGCUUCACUCUUUGUUUUUAAUGGCUAGUGAUGAAGAGGGGUUUCUUCAAGUUAAUGCACUACAUAACCUGACACGUAUGUGUCUACAUUGGUCUAGACUUGAAGAAGAUCUGCUGCCUCACAUUCAAGCAUUGCCGAAUCUUGAAAGGCUUACCCUAUUAAUGCAUAUGUUGGCGAAAAUCUGUGUUUCUCCAGAGGCUUCAUAAAGCUUAAGCAUUUGCUGUUGGGCAGCUUCUCGGUAUUGAAUAGUAUAACUAUAGAGAAAGGGGCGAUGCCAAAUCUCCAGGUCUUAGACAUUGGGAACUGCAUGGGGUUAAAGGCAUUGCCGCAGGGCAUGGAGUUCCUUGCUAACGUAGAACGCCUGGAUCUGUAUUCUGUUUCCAAUGCAACUUAUAGAGUCCGUAAGAGGAGGCAUGGAUCAUCCAAAGGUACAACAUAUUCCUGAAAUCCACCUGUAUUAUGAGAGAGAAAAAUAUGUGGUGUCAUGAAAGCUUUUCUGGUAUUCACUCAAGGUACACACUUUUGUUCUUGCAUAAACAUUUGAUUAAUUCUAGACUUAUCAUAUUUUUUGUAUCAUAUUUGUACCAUCUUUUUUAUAGAGGUAGGGCCCAUCAUCAUAUGUGGGUCUUAUUUCUAUUAGAGAGGUGGUAUGAAAAAUGUGGUAAAAGUAGCAUUUUUUUGUAAAAAAAAUUCCACAACAUAAUCAUUUGAACUAUUACGUUAGAAAGUUAAAAGGUUGAUGAUUUUCAUGCUCCUAUUUUUUUUUUCUUAUGCACUCCUUAUGUUUUUGUUCGUUAGUGUUUUGAUUUAUUCAAUUGUUAGGCUACGAAAAAGAGGAAGUAGUGUAUCGGAGUGUAGAAAUCAUUUUCCCUUACAAUUUGCAUGACCAAUCUUAUACAAAAGUCUGGCAAAGACAUAAUAUGUAUGCAUUGAGAAUAUGUAUCCAUUGAGAUUUUAUUUGGUAACUGUGUUUCUUUUGUAUUGUAAUAUCCUUUUUGUAGAAUCAAGCCUCAGAAGCACUUGUGAGACUGCAGUGAGUUCUCCUUUGUGCUAGUUGAUUUUGCGGUGAAUCUCGACUUUCGUUAUAGUAACAGAGCUGACUAUAUACGUGUCGAGUCAUUCGUCCUGCAAGGAAGAAUCCGUUCGUUGUUUGUGUGUUGUGUGAAGUUGCAAACAUUGAUCGAUCUUGGUUUCUUAUUUGCCCUUUGUGAAAUUGAAUAAUGCCCAAUAUUCUAUUUGUGUAACUGAAACUUAUAUUAUUGAUUGUUUGCAUGUGUUUUGAUGUAAUAAUAUUGGUUUGGAAUUGAAUCUGUCACUUAUGAGAAUAAUUCCAAAGAUUCUGUUUGUGUAACAGAAACUUAUAUUAUUGUUUGUUUGCGUGUAUUUUUUGAUGUAAUAAUAUUGGUUUGGAACUGAAUCUGUUAUUGAUGAGACCAAUUCUAACUAAAUCAAUAAUUAUGACCAUUUUUCAUUUUCAAUAUUUAUUGUUUUUUUUAUCAAGUUUUCAAAUAUAUUGUUUUUGAGAGGCAAAUUUUGUGGCGGAUACUUUAGCUCACUAUGAUUUUACUUGAGAAAUUAUUAGAUGGUACGGUAUUACCACGUCAGCCAGUCAUACUUCUAUUCAAAUUUUUAACAUGUCUGCAGUUUCUUACAGCUGAAUUAAAAAGCUUUUUCAAUUCAAAAUUAAUUAAUUUUUUUCAGUUUAAACAAAAUUAAAAGAAUUAAAAAUAAGAGGCGUUUUGACACAGAUGCAUAGCUUUUAAAAUUUUGAGUUAACCUCUUUUCCUCCCCUCCCUCCUCUCUCAUGGCGACUAGUGCUGCCAGUAUCCGAGCCCGCCAGAAAGCAAUCCCGACCGGGUCGGGGCGAAUUCGAGGCCCAAUGAGCAGCAUCUUGUUGCUUAGUUUCAACAAUUUGCCCAACCGGUUGAAGCCAUGUUUCCUAUAUACUGUGCCCUUUUCCCAGAAGAUUAUCUCAUCAAAAGAAAAAGGUUGAUCAGGUUGUGGAUAGCUGAAGGGUUUGUUGAACCAAUUGAUGGGAUCACACCAAAAGAAGUUGCAGAGGGUUAUCUUGUGGAACUUAUGUUCGUAGCAUGCUACAAGUUGAAAAGCAUGGAGCUGGAGGACUAAGAGCAUGUAAGAUGCAUGAUCUUGUGCGUGAGCUUGCUUUGUCGAUAUCAAAAAAGGAAAAGUUCGGUGCUACGUGUGUUUCCAGAGAAAUAGUAGAUAAAGCUGAAAUCCGCCGAUUGUCAAUUCAAACAACUGAAAGAGAAAUUAAUUCUUGCACGGGUAUGUCAGAGCUUCGCUCCUUUCUUGUCUUUGGCGCGUUAGAGAAAUUGCCUUCUGGAUUCGAGUUGUUGAGAGUUCUAGAUGUGCAGGAUGCUCCAAUUGAUAGAUUUCCAGAUGAACUAGUGUACUUGUUCAAACUUAAGAUAUUUAAAUUUGAAGAGAACUUUGAUUGACGAGCUUCCAGAAUCCAUCGGACGACUUCGCAACCUUCAAACCUUGAUCAUCAGUAACAGUAAGAUAAAGGCACUUCCAAAAGCAAUCUCCAAGUUAGUAAACCUACGCCAUCUAAUCAUGUUUCGUUACACUGGUGACCAUUAUGGCUUUAUAUAUCUCAAUGGGACAAAAAGCAGCAUCCGAUCUAAGUAAAUUACAGAAACCGCAAGUUUUGCAUUCCGUUGAAUCAGAAGGAAAGAUAAUUAAAGGCAUCAGGAAUAUGACCCAACUUACAAGCCUCGGUAUUACAAAUGUGAAAGCAAGUGACGAGAUGGACCUCUGUGACUCCCUUCAAAAGUUAGAGCUCCUUCACAAUUUGUUUUUUAAUGGCUGGUGAUGAGAGAGAGGAGUUUCUUCAAGUUAAUUUGACUCUCCAGACCUUCAAAUUGACUUAAUUUGACUGGAAAACUAGAAAAGGGUACCUCUUUGGUUAGGUUCACUCCAUAACCUGACACGUAUUUAUCUACGUUGGUCUAGACUUGAAGAAGACGUGCUACCUCACAUUCAAGCAUUGCCGAAUCUUGAAAGGCUUUCGCUAAUUAAUGCAUAUGUUGGCGAAAAAUUGUGUUUCUCCAGAGGCUUCAUAAAGCUUAAGCAUUUGAGGUUGUUCAAGUUCCCCUUAUUGGAUAGUAUAGCUAUAGAGAAAGGGGCGAUGCCAAAUCUCUAGGUCUUAUGCACUGCGUACUGCCUGGAGUUAAAGGCAUUGCCGCAGGGCAUUGAGUUCCUUGCUAACGUAGAACGCUUGAAUCUGUAUUCUGUUCCAAUGCAACUUAUACAGUCCAUAAGAGGAGGCAUGGAUCAUCCAAAGGUACAACAUAUUCCUGAAAUCCACCUGUAUUAUAUGAGAGAAAAUAUGGAGUGUCAUGAAAGUUUUUCCGGUAUUCACUCUAGGAGAAGGUACGCACACUUUUAUCCUUGCAUAAAAAUUUAAUUAAUGUUAGACUUACUACAUUUUUUGUGUCACAUUUGUACCACCUUUUUUUUAUAGAGGUAGGGCCGAUUGACAUAUAUGGGUCUUAUUUUUAUUAGAGAUGUGGUAUAAAUGUGGUAUGAAAAAUGUGGUAAAAGUAGCAUUUUUGUAAAAAAAAAAUUCCACAACGUAAUCAUUUGAACUAUUACGUUAGAAAGUUAAAAGGUUGGUGAUUUUCACACUCCUAUUUUUUUUUCCUUAUACGCUCCUCUUGGUUUUGUUCGUUAGUGUUUUGAUUUAUUCAAUUGUUAGGCUACGAAAAAGAGGAAGUAGUGCAUCAGAGUGUAAAAAUCAUUUUCCCUUACAAUUUGCAUGUCCAAUCUUAUAUAGAAGUCUGGCAAAGACAUAAAAUAUGCAUGCAUUGAGAUUUUAUUCGGUAAUUGUGUUUCUUUUGUUUUGUAAUAUCCUUUUUGCAGAAUCAAGCCUCAUAAGCACUUGUGAGACUGCAUUGAAUUCUCCUUUGUCCCAGUUGAUUUUACGGUGAAUCUCGACUUUCGUUAUAGUAACAGAGCUGACUAUAUACGUGUUGUGUCAUUUACCCUGCAAGGAAGAAUCCGUCCAUUGUUUGUUGUGUGAAGUUGCAAACAUUGAUCGAUCUUGGUUUCUUAUUUGCCCUUUGUGAAAUGGAAUAAUGCCCAAGAUUCUAUUUGUGUAACUGAAACUUAUAUUAUUGAUUGCUUGUGUGUGUUUUGAUGUAAUAAUAUUGGUUUGGAACUGAAUUUGUCACUGAUGAGAAUAAUGCUUAAGAUUCUGUUUGUGUAACAGGAACUUAUAUUAUUGUUUGAUUGCGUGUAUUUUGAUGUAAUAACAUUGAUUUGGAACUGAAUCUAUCACUGAUGAGACCAAUUCUAACUAAACCAAUGAUUAUGACCCAUUUUUCAUUUUCAAUAUUUAUUGCUUUUUAUCAAGUUUUCAAAUAUAUAUUGUUUUAGGUAGGCAAAUUUUGUGGCGGAUGUUUUAGCUUACUAUGAUUUUACCUGAGAAAUUAUUAAAUGGUACGAUAUUACCACGUCGCCCAGUAAUACUUUUAUUCAAAUUUCCAGUAAUACUUUUAUUCAAAUUUUAACAUGUGUGCAGUUUCUUUCAUGCUUACAGCUAGAUUAAAAAGCUUUUUUAAUUUAAAAUUAAUUUUUUUUUCAGUUUAAACAAAAUUAAAAGAACUAAAAAUAAGAGGCGUUUUGACACAGAUGCCUAGGGUUUAGCUUUUAAAAUUUUGAGAUAAGGCCAUCUCCAAUCAAAAAGUCCAGAGGGCUGAAAAUGGCCCAAAAACCGUCUCCAACCGAGGACUAGGCCAAAAGGCUCGUGGGCCCCACUGAACAAAAAAGGGCCAAAAGGCCAAUCGAUUGGCCCAACCCAACCAGCCAACCUCGGGCAGAGCCAGAAAUUUGAAUGCAACGGCUAGCUGAUGUAAGCGUGACGCUAACUAGCCAUUAUAUUUGAAUUUUUUUUUGGGCCAAAAUUUAAAAAAAUAUAUAUUUAAUUAUAGGCCUAGAAAGGUGAUUAGUUCAAUGUUGGGCGUUGAGAUGUUCCUUUUAUAAGCAUGUUUGGUUACUCAAAUCUCUCCCACGAACAAUGUGGGACAAAUAUAAUGGUUGCCACACAUGCAAGCUUUUGCUUGCUCAAAUCUCUCCCACGGACGAUGUGGGACAAAUAUAGUGGGUAGUUUUUAAAUUUAAGUUGUUGUAGUUUUUAAAUUUAAAUAACAAAUUAUGUUUGGUCCUAUGACCCUCAAUUGGAGAUGAUUUUUUGUCACAUGGCUAUUUUUGAUAAAAAAUUAUAGCUAUGCACUGUUCAUUAAAGUAUUAAUUUCUUGGACGGCCACACCUUCGGUUGGAGAUGGCAUAACCUCUUUUCCUCCCCUCCUUAUUCUCUCCCAUGGCGAUUGCAGUGCUGUCAGUAUCCAAGCCCGCCAGACAGCAACCCCGACCGGGUCGGGGUGGAUUCGAGGCCCAUGGACUAUCAGAAGAAGAGGCCUAAAACCUUAUUUUAUCUUAAUAUUACAUAAUUACUGUUUUGUCCUCCUUAUGUAAAUAUUGUGAAUCAAAAGUGAGGGUAAAAUAGGAAAAAUAGGGAUAUGAUUGUCAUUUUAUCAAAAGAUAUAAAAUUACUAUUUUGCCCUCCUUAUGUAAGUAUUGUGUAUCAAAAGUGAGGGCAAAAUAGAAAAAAGGGGGCAAAAGAUACAAAAUUACUAUUUUGCCUUCCUUAUGUAAGUAUUGUGUAUAAAAAAUGAGGGUAAAAUAAGAAGAAAAAAAAGGCAAAAAGUUGACAAGAAUGAUUCUCUUAAUAAUAGUAUAGAUUAUAAAUAAUAAAUAAAUAAAUAAUAAUAAAAACUGAUAAGAACAAAAAAAAAAAAAAAAAAACCCUAUUGUUCAAGCUUCAAAGUUAGGGGGAGGGUAAUGGACAAGGAUUGUCUGCCCUCCCACUUUCCAUGCCCUCCCAUGCCCUCAUGUUUGUGUGUGCUCAGGGUUAAGCCACGUCAACAUUUUAUAUUACUAUUCAUUUUUGUCUUAUUAUCUCUAUAAAAGAAACAAUAUAAAAUGUUGACGUGGCUUAACCGUGACCACACAAAACAGAAGAACACGGGAGGACAUGGAAAAUGGGAGGGCAGACAAUCCUUGUCCGAGGGUAAUAGACCUCUCUUUCUCUGCCGCAUAUCUCCUGGUUUUAUUUUUAUUUAUUUUUGGUAAAAAAAAACCUUCCUGAUCUCUUUAUUCUCUAGAAACUCAUGUGUUAUUACCAUUUAUCAGACGAUAUGUUUUCCCGCUUGUUCAUAUUGUUCUCACGCUUGGCCAAUGGGGGAAAAAUUGUUUUCCACAAUCUAAUUUAUCACUCAAAAUACUAGGAAUGAAGAAUUAGGAUUUUGGGUUUAGUUUUGUUUACCGAACAAAAUAAUUCAAGAGAUCGAGCGAUUGCUUGAUACGCUUUGUGUGCUUCUUAAUUUUGUAUCAAUCGAAUCAAAUCGACAUGUAGUAAAGACGGAUUUUCUCUCCUCCUCCUCCUUACGUUCAUGACCAGUUGAUUUUUUUUCCUAUUGAGUUUUAUUGGAUUAAUUGAUUCUUAUUCAUUUAAUAUAAUUGUUUAUUUAUUACUUAUAAUUCACAUCAUCGUCCAUGUCACUUAAGGUUUAAAAUUUUCAACAUUAGUCUUAAUCAAGAUCAUUGAAUGUUAUAAAAUCUAAUGACUAAAAAAGAGUGUAAAAAUACUUGUCUCCUGAUCCUAUUUUAUAUGUAUUUUUUAUAUAUGAAUAUAAAUUAUUAUCUAUUAGUUUUUCAAUACAGUAUGAUAAUAUUGUUGGUAAUAUUAUGGAAUACUAAUCACAUACCAAAAAUUUCAGUUUGCUACAAUAUCGUGUCAUUAUUGAUUAGCACAAAAUCGAUAUGGUACGAUUAUCAAUCGGUGGCACGAUAUUGACAAAAAAAAAAAUCACCCUAGAGUUAGUAAACUCACCCGUGACAAGUGUUGAAUCAGAGACUAAAAAAGAAUUGAAUUCUACUGGAAGUGUAUAUAAACUUUUGUAAUGUGAAUUAAAAUUACAGUGUGCUUGAGUGAUUUUUCAAAACCUUGUUCGUUAUUUGAUUUGAAAUAAGAAUUUUCUGUUAUAUUUUUAAUUUAUUCGUGCACCAAUUAUUUUUCUGCCGACACCAAAUUCGAAGCGCAACUUUAAUAUGACCCCACCUGGCAAGUACUGCGAGCAAAAUACAUCCUACGCGGUUUCAGUUCCACGAUUUACAAAUUGCCACACACAUCACAUUAUUAUCUUUGUCCAAAGGUUUUUGUCUUCGUCUGAAAUUAUUGGUCUGUCAGAAAGUAUUCGUAAGAGCCAUAAAGUAUUGGUCUUUGUUUCAUGAAACAUGACUUCCAUCCUAACGUGCAAUUGUUUCUAAUUCUAAAGUGAUUUUCUCUGAUUUUUACUUGUUUCUCUGUCGGAUCGAAUGAGAAAAGAUAAAAGGCUCAUGAAAUUGACGUGUGGGGUUAGGAAUGGUUAUAUUCUAUGAGUGAGCUCCAGUCCCUUCGUCUCAUAUUUGAUAUUUUUAUUUUCGUCGACAAGGGAGCCCAAAAAAUAACGACGUCGGAGCAACUGAAGCAUAUAAUUGCAACUCUUUUGUGAGCUUCCAUAUGUCCCAGGGUAUGUUAUUCUGCAAUCUUACUACCAUAUCAAAUAUCCUUCUAGUAAUUUUCUGGAAGAAAGUAUAGGGGCUUAUGAGCUACAUCUGACUUUUGUUUCACUUUUUUUUCUUAUUAUAUAUGUAAUUCUGUUGGAAUGCAUGCAAGUCAUAUGUUUUGUUAAAAUGCAUGCAUGAAAUAAACAUGUUGGAUGACUAGUGAAGUUAGGCUAGUCAACAUUCUUUGUGUAAAUUAGGCAAGUUAGGCAAGUUAGGAAAUUAGGCAAGUUAGGCUUAUGUUCUCUUUCUUUUCCUAUAUAAUGUUUCAUCUUGUAAUUGUUUUGAUAUGAAAUACACAUCCAAAAUUCUACAUGGUAUCAGAGCAGGAACUCGAAAUUCCUGGCUCUGUUGAUCGUUUCCGCUAAGUUUCUUUUACUCUAAGCCAAGAUGGCUGGAGAACAUUUACUCUAAGCCAAAAUGGCUGGAGAACUUUUACUCUAAGCCAAGAUGGCUGGAGAACAUUUACUCUAAGCCAAGAUGGCUGAAGAACAUUUACUCUAAGCCAAGAUUGGCUGGAGAACAUUUAUUCUAAGAAGAUGCUGGAGACAUUAUGCUGAGAGCUCGAUGGAUGCUUUAGCUCUACCUAACGUUGUUCAAGUUUUGCGGCACGAAGCCAUUUCAAGUUUGUUUGUUUGCGGCACGAACGAAGUCAUUACUGUUUUGUUUGCGGCACGAAGCCAUUUCAUUUCAGUGGGAAUUUGGUAACAUGGCGCAGCAAGAAGCAAAGCGUUAUUUUUACUAAACCUCUUCCUACGGUUCAGUUCAUGCGCAUUCUGUCCAAGCUUGGCUCAAGGAAUCCCCUCGAUCCAGCUUGAGGGGGAGUGUUGGAAUGCAUGCAAGUCAUAUGUUUUUUGUUAAAAUGCAUGCAUGAAAUAAAUAUGUUGGAUGACUAGUGAAGUUAGGCUAGUCAUUAACAUUCUUGUUAGUAAAUAGGCAAGUUAGGCAAGUUAGGCAACAAGUUAGGCAAGUUAGGCUUAUGUCUACUUUCUUUUCCUAUAUAUAUGUUUCAUUUGUAAUUGUUUCUUCAUGAAAUACACAUAAAAAAUUCAACAAAUUCAGAUUCUGAGCAUUCAUCAUCAAACACAAGACUUCAAAUUCGAUUUCUUCUUCAACAACAUUGCCUGUAAAAAAAGGGGUGAGUUAUUGAUUUAAACGCCAUUAAGUUGAAUUUGGUUGGAAGUCUAGUCAAUAUUAUUUGGUGUUUUAUUUUAAUAAUUUAAGCAAGCAAACGAGUUAUAUUUAUCGUGUUUUCGUUGUUUUGUCAUAUUCGUCAUUUUAACAGAUAAUAUUGUGUCAAAUAUGUUAUCCUAAUAAAUUCUUCACAAAUGACCCCAAUAACGACUUAAUUCGUUAACGAAUUGUGUCGCCUCACGCAAUGAUGAAGCCAAAAAUUAUCAAGAGGAGGGGCAAAAGUUAAACGGUUUAAGGUCCCCAAAAAAUGUGGACAUCCAUUCGAGGCCGAAGUCUAGUGUUUACAUGAAGAAUAUGUGAACUACCUCGAAUAUUUGUAGGAUAAUUUGCACUAACUGAAUAUUCAAAGUAGGAAUUGGACAUGACCUGACCUAGGCGGAUUAGGCGAAUUUGAAUUUUUUUAAUUAUAUAUUGUAUAAAUAAGUGUUUAUUUAUUAUAUACAUAUAAUAUCUAAGAACAUUGACUAUAAAACAUACAAUAUAUAAAAAUAUAAAAAAAAAAAUUUUACUUUGUUGUAUUUAACAGUAGGAGAUAAAAAUUCAAAUGAUUACAAGUUUUUAAUACUUUACAAAAUAUUUUUUAAAGUUCGUAUGAAUUUAUAGUAAAUUUGAAGAUAAAUAAUAAUGUAAAAAAAGUUAAAAAAAUAUUGAAAAAGUGGGCAAAUUAUUCAAACAAUAAUUAAAAAACAAAACAAAUCUCAAUAUAAUCAGCACAUUAAAUAGCUAGCUAUGUGGCCCAAACUUAUUGGGUACAAUAAUUGAAAAACCAAAUUAAAGUGGGUAACUUUGAAACGGCAUGUGGGGUGGGGUGGGUAAGAGAGAAAGUUACUUUUUAGUAGCUGCAAAAUUGGGUAUUUUGAAAAGAAAAAAAAAAGGAGAGCCUGGGCGUAGGAAACCCAGAACACCAAAAAAUCAGAUGGGACCAAAGGGACGGAACCACUGAUCCUAGACUUGAUUUUCGGCUUGGGGAGGGGCGACCCUUAUGUAGCUUUGCCCAUGAUCUCAUGCCUAUUUAAUAGGUCAUGCAAGAAAUUAAUAUACCUAAUACUAAUUUAAUAGUUGGGAACUCCCCCGUGAUAAGUGUUGAAUUGGAUCAGAGAUGGAAGUGUAUAUAAACUUUUGUAAUGUGAAUUAAAAUUACAGUGCGCUUGAGUGAUUUUUCAAAACCUUGUGUUUGUUAUUUGAAAUAAGAGUUUUCUAUUAUAUUUUUAAUUUUAUUCGUGCACCAAUUAUUUUUCUACCGAUCCCAAAUUCGAAGCGCAACUUUAAUAUAUGACCCCACCUCGCAAUUAUUGUCGGCGAGCAAAAUACAUCCUACGCGGUUUCAGUUCCACGGUUUACAAAUUGCCACGUACAUCACGUUAUCAUCUUUGUCCAAAGGUUUUUGUCUUGGGCUGAAAUUAUUGGUCUUUGUCAGAAAGUAUUCGUAAGGACCAACAAGUCCUGGUCUUUGAUUCAUGACUUCCAUCAUAACUUGCAAUUGUUUCUAAUUCUAAAGUGAAUUUCUCUAAUUUUACUUGUUUCUCCGUCAGAUCGAAUGAGAAUUGAUAAGAGGAUCGUGGAAUUGACGGAAGGGGUUAGGAAUGGCUAUAUUCUCCCUUCGUCUCAUAUUUGAUAUUUUUAUUUUCAUUGACAAAGGAGCCCAACAAUAACGACGUCAAAGCAACUGAAGCAUAUCAUUGCAACUCUUUUGUGAGCUUCCAUAUGCCCCAGGGUAUGUUAUUCUGCACUCUUACUACCAUAUCUAAUAUCCUUCUAGAAAUUUUUUGGAAGAAAGUAUAAGGGCUUAUGAGCUACAUCAGACUUUUGUUUCACUUUUUUUUUUGUAUGUAAUUCAUAUUCUGAGCAUUCAUCAUUAAACACAAGACUUCAAAUUCGAUUUCUUCCUCAACAAUUACGUAUAUUGAAAAAAUAAAAUGCAAAAUGAAAAUUUUUUAUUUUCUGUAAAGCUUAUAACAAUUUAUUGAAAAAAAAAUAAAAGUAUUCAACAAGUCUAUUACAAUAUCUUGAAAAAAUAAAAUGCAAAGUGAAAGUUAUCUAUUUUCUGCCUAGACAGGUCUAGGCGGUGCCUAACUAGGUUUAGGCGUCCUUGCUUAAUUUUCAAAUUCCUAAGCAUUAAUUGGAUCGAUGGCCAACCGCCUAGUGCCGCUGGAAUUUUUAGAACAGUGGUUAACGUGUUGACCCCAAGACCUGUUAUUUUCGUGUUUUUCAGCGUCUGAUUAACGGGUCGUGCAAAAAAUUGUGUGGUAUUUGUGUAGAGUCCAAUCUACUAUACCCAAAACAUUCCGUUCUUUUCGACGUGUGUACUUUCAUUUAACAACAAUUUUGUGGUACUUGCCAACUGCCACCUACAAAGAAUUGAAACUUUUGGUUAUCCUUUAACACUGACUAAAAUCCAUGACAUUUGGUGGAAGAAUUAGAUUGAAUGAGUUCGAAAUUUUCAAUCAUAGAUUUUUGUUAUGGAACCAAAUUCUUUAAUUAUGUGUUCUUGCAAAAAAGACUCGAGAAGUAGUUUUCGGACUUUUGAAGUUUGGCCCUUUGUUAAACUGAAUGAAAGUUAAGAACAGAAAAUUAAAUUUCUUGUGUACCUUAUUUAGAUCUUGAUUUCUUUUGGCUUGUGGUUUUGUUUUGAAAACUAAGCACAUAGUUUGUUAAAUACAAAAAUUUAUCCAUUGCGUUCUUUUUUUCUUUUUCUGUUGUUUUGAAACUUGUCUUUUCUGCAGACAGAUUGCAUACCAAGUAUCGAAAGCCAAAAUGGAGUCAGCUGCAUCACUAUUGGUUGGGAAAAUUGCGGCCAUUCUUGAGAACGAAGCAUCUUCCAUAGCGGCAGUCCGUGAUGAAGUUGAUGAGCUUAAGCUGGAGCUCAUAAGCAUGAAAUCUUUCUUAAUAGAUGCUGAAGGCAAGGAACCACAAACAGAAGGAGAGAGAACGUGGGUUACAAGCGUCAGAGAUUUGACCUGCGAUGCUGAAAAUGUCAUUGAUGAGUUCCUGUAUCACAUAUAUGACAAGCAAAGUGCGACUCCAUUUGCAAAAUUGCUCCACAGAACCAUUUACUUUCCAAAGAAUCUUUGGUAUAGGCAUCGAAUAGCCAAAAAAUUACAGAAAAUCACGAAAAAGAUCAAAGCCAUUCCAGAGAGGAAUGAGAGAUAUGGUGUCUCUACAAUAGAAGGAACAAGUUCGGGUAGUGUUCCCAGAUGGGUGAAGAACAAAGCCGAGUCUUCUCUUUAUAUUAUGGAAGAUGAAUUAAUCGGCAUUGAAGACAAGAAGCAAACGUUAAUGGGAUUGUUGAUGAAUGGCGAGGAAAAUGAAAUGGUUGUGUCUGUGGUCGGGAUGGGAGGAUCAGGCAAGACAACUCUAGUUGCCAAUAUCUUCAACAACGAAAAUGUAAAGCGGCAUUUUGACUGUUAUGCAUGGAUCACUGUUUCUCAAACUUUUGUGAUCGAAGACUUAUUCAAAAAUCUGAUCAAGCAAUUCCACCAAGGAAGAAAGGAAGAGGUGACAGCACAAUUGGAUUCCAUGAGUUACAAAGAAUUGUUAGAGAUGUUGUCGGCAUACUUGAAGUCUAAAGGUACCUCGUUGUAUUGGAUGAUGUGUGGGAUAUUAAACUUUGGCAAGAAAUAAAGAUACCACUUCUUAAUAGGCAUCAUGGAAGUCGAAUCAUGCUUACAACUCGAAAGAAAGACAUAGCAUCCUAUUCUUUUGAAGUUGAAAGUCGUCCUAUUGAAAUUGAACCCUUGGGAAACAAUGAAGUUUGGGAGCUCUUUAGCAAGAAAGCAUUCUCAACUUACGAUAAUAAAUCUUGUCCACCAGAGCUUGAAUCCUUAGCAUGGAAACUUGUGGAUAAGUGUGAAGGCCUACCUCUGGCAGUGGUAACUUUAGGUGGUCUAAUGUCUUCCAAGAGGUCAUCAUCGGAAUGGAGAAGUGUAUAUAACAGCUUAAAUUGGCACUUGACUAACAAUCCUAUGCUAGAACCAAUGAGCAGCAUCUUGUUGCUUAGUUUCAACAAUUUGCCCAACCGGUUGAAGCCCUGUUUCCUAUAUUGUGGCCUUUUCCCAGAAGAUUAUCUCAUCAAAAGAAACAGGUUGAUCAGGUUGUGGAUAGCUGAAGGGUUUGUUGAACCAAUUGAUGGGGUCACACUAGAAGAAGUUGCAGAGGGCUAUCUUGUGGAACUUAUUGUUCGUAGCAUGCUACAAGUUGAAAAGAAUGAAGCUAGAGGACUAGGAGCAUGUAAAAUGCAUGAUCUUGUGCGUGAGCUUGCUUUGUCGACAUCAAAAAAGGAAAAGUUUGGUGCUACGUAUGUUGGCAGAGAAAUAGUUGAUAAAGCUGAAAUCCGGCGAUUGUCAAUUCAAACAACUGAAAGAGAAAUUAAUUCUUGCACAGGUAUGUCAGAGCUUCGCUCCUUUAUUGUCUUUGGCGCGUUAAAGAAAUUGCCUUCUGGAUUCAAGUUGUUGAGAGUUCUAGAUCUGGAGGGUGCCCCAAUUGAUAGAUUUCCAGAUGAACUAGUGUACUUGUUCAACUUAAGAUAUUUAAAUUUGAAGGGAACUUUAAUUGAGGAGCUUCCAGAAUCCAUCGGACGGCUUCGCAACCUUCAAACCUUGAACAUCGUGACAGUAAGAUAAAGGCACUUCCGAAAGCAAUCUGCAAGUUAGUAAACCUACGCCAUCUAAUCAUGCAUCGUUACACUGGUGAUCAUUAUAGCUUUAUAUAUGUCAAUGGGACAAAACCAGCAUCCGAUCUAAGUAAAUUACAGAAACUGCAAUUUUUGCGAUGUGUUGAAUCAGAAGGAAAGAUUAUUAAAGGCAUC
rnacentral:lncRNA from 1 species